rnacentral:lncRNA from 1 species
UUGAAAUCUAUGGCCAUUGAAGAAUUACCUGAAUCCAUUGGUUCUUUGAAGGAGCUCAAGACUCUAGAUGCCUCUUAUUGCGAAUCGUUAGCCCACAUACCCAAUUCAAUAGGCAAUUUAACAUCUCUGUCUUACCUUGGCCUGAAUGAAUGCCAAAAACUUGCUCAACUUCCAGAAUCCAUAGGCUCCCUUGUGUAUUUACAGUGGUUGUUAUUGUCAGGAUGCCACUCGUUAAGACAAAUCCCAGACUCGAUCGGAAAGUUGACAUCAUUGAUAGAGCUGCAUUUGAAAUCUACGGCCAUUGAAGAAUUACCUGAAUCCAUUGGUUCUUUGAAGGAGCUCAAGACUCUAGAUGUCUCUUAUUGCAAAUCAUUAGUCCGCAUACCCAACUCAAUAGGCGAUUCAACAUCUCUGUCUCUCCUUGACCUAACGGAAUGCCAAAAAUUUGCUCAACUUCCAGAAUCCAUAGGCUCCCUUGUGUAUCUACAGUGGUUGUCAUUAUCCGAAUGCCACUCCUUGAGACAAAUCCCGGAUUCGAUCGGAAAGUUGACAUCAUUGAUAGAGCUACAUUUGAAAUCUACGGCUACUGAAGAAUUACCUGAAUCCAUUGGUUCUUUGAAGGAGCUCAAGAUUCUAAAUGCCUCUUAUUGCAAAUCGUUAGCCCACAUACCCAACUCAAUAGGCAAUUUAACAUCUCUGUCUCACAUUUACCUGAAUGAAUGCCAAAAACUUGCUCAACUUCCAGAAUCCAUAGGCUCCCUUGUGUAUCUACAGUGGUUGUCAUUAUCCGAAUGCCACUCAUUGAGACAAAUCCCGGAUUCGAUCGGAAAGUUGACAUCAUUGAUAGAGCUGCAUUUGAAAUCUACGGCUAUUGAAGAAUUACCUGAAUCCAUUGGUUCUUUGAAGGAGCUCAAGAUUCUAAAUGCCUUUUAUUGCAAAUCGUUAGCCCACAUACCCAACUCAAUAGGCAAUUUAACAUCUCUGUCACUCUUUGGCCUGAAUGAAUGCCAAAAACUUGCUCAACUUCCAGAAUCCAUAGGCUCCCUUGUGUAUCUACAGUGGUUGUCAUUAUCCGAAUGCCACUCAUUGAGACAAAUCCCGGAUUCGAUCGGAAAGUUGACAUCAUUGAUAGAGCUGCAUUUGAAAUCUACGGCUAUUGAAGAAUUACCUGAAUCCAUUGGUUCUUUGAAGCAGCUCAAGAUUCUAAAUGCCUCUUAUUGCAAAUCGUUAGCCCACAUACCCAACUCAAUAGGCAAUUUAACAUCUUUGUCUUCCCUUGACCUGAAAGAAUGCCAAAAACUUGCUAAACUUCCAGACUCCAUAGGCUCUCUCGUGUCUUUGUUGUGGUUGUUAUUAUCAGGAUGCCAUUCGUUGAAACAAAUUCCAGACUCGAUCGGAAAGUUGACAUCAUUGAUUGAGUUACAUUUGAAAUCUACGGCCAUUGAAGAAUUACCUAAAAGCAUUGUUAAUAUGCAAAACUUGAGGAUGUUGGAUAUUGAUGGAACUCCCAUGAUAAAAUUGCUUGAUGACCCGGGAAUAUUGGCAGAACUCAAAGGGUUGAGAGCUUCAACACGGAAAAAUAUGGAAGGGUCACCUAGUAAUAAUGGCCAAUUGGUUUUGCCAAACGAUCUUGGUUUAGAUGAGCUUCUAAAACUAUCAAAAUUGCGCUCUCGCGUACUAUCUCUUGGUAUCACUUGCCAAUCCUGCAUUCACUGAAUUUUUCUCAACUAAACUUUCUCAAGAAACUCACUCUUUCUAACUGGCUUAAAUGUCUCUCAAACCUUUCUAUAACAUGUUAUAGAAAAGCUAUGAAACUUGAUUUUGUAUCUUACAAAAGUUCGACCUGUUAGUUGGGCAUUUUAUUUACCUUUUGUCUUGUGAUACAGUUCUCUUAAAGCGUUUCAAGACUCCUCUUGCCAACAACUUAGCCAUGGACUACCAAACAACAGAUGAACGUCCUUUGAAGAGAUCAAAACCUUUUGGAAUCUCAAAUGAAGUACUUAUUUAAUUUUGCUUUUUCUUUGUCGUUCUUCAGUUAUUAAAGGAUGGUUCCAUCUACAAAGAGAAGUAUUUUACUGAAUGAUCAAUUAUUUGUUAUGUGUGGAAUGCUUUGAUCAACAUUCGUAACUAGAUCCAUCAAACCCGUUACAUUCUCGCUAUUUUAAGUAUUUUGUUCCUGGAAGUAGGGAUUUUUAGUUUUCUUGAAUUAUGAAGUUAAGGUGGAAUAUAUUGUCUGUUCUUUUGUGUUUCUCUUUCUUAAUUAUCUUUAUUUGCACGCCAUUGAAUGAAAAAUUUCUGAAAGCGCACUCAUUUUGGUGCUAUUGCGGCAUAUGAUCAUGCAUUGAGAAUCUUCACGAGUGUAGGGGUUAUCUCACAUUAGUUGUGGAAGGAAAAAGUAGUUAGUUUAUAAUUGUGAGGGAAAGUCUCAUCCUUUAAGUUAGCUUUUAUGAUGAGAUAAACCCAAGACCACCCAACAAAAAGAAACUUUUAGUUUUGAGGUUUCUAGAUACCCUUAAUUUUCAUGAUGUUAACCUAAUGAAAUUAUUGAAGAUUGGAAGGAUAACAAGAAAGUUUGAUGGAGAGAGAAAGGAGCAAAAGGGCUAGGGUUGUCAAUUUGUGUCCUCUUGUCAUAAUUGUGUUUGUGACUGUGUCAAUUCAUCAUGACUUCUAUUAGACAUGUCAACCCAUUGAAUUAGAUGAAAACAUGUAAAUAUCUCAUCAAGUUAAAUGUAUCAUGAUGUGUCAUAUUGGGUUGUGUUUGUGUUUUUCGUGUUUGGUAUUGUUAUGUAAACAGUGUGUGUCACUAUUGGCAGCAUUAAUGAGAAGCGUGGACUGGAUAGGUGUUGAUUACGUCUCCUCCCAUUAUGCAUGCAUUGUGCUCACGUAUGCUAGUACAAGAGGGGCUCUCAUAUGAGUCUUUUGCAUCUUUUGAGUGCCAUGGUUUUGAUCAAUUUUCUAAAGGACUAACUAGCUUUGUAAUCUUUAUGACCUUCUAUUAGGUGAAUAAUUUGCCGGUAAACAUUAUGCCUGUCUCAUACAAUUGCCCGAGCCUCGGUCAGAGUUCUUAUUCUUCAAAUGACUUGCCCAGAAAUGUAGUCAUUACCCUAAGUCAAGGUUCACUUGUUAAGAGUAUGGAUUUCCAUCAAGUGAAACAAAUUCUGCUACUCGGUUAGCACUUCUUUCUUACUCUAUGAAUAACACGUUCCGUGCUUUUCUUCAGUUGGAUAUACUUGUUCUCGUUGGAGGCCAUAAGUUUGUGCUUUUGUGCUUGGAAGAUUGCUUUUUGUUGUUCUUUUGACGCUAGCUUCUACUAUUUUAAACCAUGGGGUAUUGUUCUUCAAAUUUUUUGCAUUAAUAAUUUUUAGUGGGAACAAAUACGGGUGAUGUCAUGGUAUGGGAAGUAGGCAGUGGUGCGAGGAUUGCCUUGAGAAAAUUCAAGAUUUGGGAUCUGGGAACAUGUNNNNNNNNNNNNNNNNNNNNNNNNNNNNNNNNNNNNNNNNNNNNNNNNNNNNNNNNNNNNNNNNNNNNNNNNNNNNNNNNNNNNNNNNNNNNNNNNNNNNAUUUUGAUAUGUGCUGAUGCUGAUGGUGGAUUGCCGGUAAUUCAUUGUUGUUAAUUUAAUUUGAUUGAAUUAGCUGAACCUUUCCAUUAAACCUGCUCUUUAAAUUUGCAGGCUUCACCUUGUAUUAGAUUUAACAAGGAAGGAAAUCUAUUAGCUGUCUCAACAAGUGACAAUAGCAUCAAAAUUUUAGCAAAUGCUGAUGGGAUUAGGUUGCUAAGGACAGUGGACAAUUGGCCUUUUUAUGCUUCUAGAAUCACUCCUAGACCUCUUAUGAAGGUAAGCCUUUUCAAGAGUACACUGACUUCAUAGAGAUCAACUUGCUAAAUGUCUUGGAUCUUGUACUGCCACCAGCAAUCGAGAUAUCUAGUUCUUGUAAUGCUACUGUUGGCACAACCUGGGUAAUAGAGGGGUUCAGUGGCAUUAUUAAAAUGUUUGAUUCAAUUUCUAGAAUCUUCUAGAUGGGCAUUUGGUAGAGAAUUCUAGAAAAAUCCUACCAAAAAAAUAAAAAAAUUCGGGUGGAAAUGUCUUGAGUCCACUAAAGUUGUGUAGAAAAAUCCAUAAAAAUUAUCUUUGCAACCUGGCAGAGAUAGUUGCCUUCAAAAAAUUCUUUGACUCGAGCAGAGAUUUUUGCACGUCUAAGUUGAUGAUGCAAGCCUAUAAAAGGCUUAGGGUUGUAAAAAAAAAAAGCAUAUUUAGAACUUUGUUUUUUUUUUCUCUAUUCCUGAUAACAUGUUUGAAAUAGAAAUGUAACUUUAUUUUUUUAUUUUUGGGAAAUUUUUAAUCUAGAAAUAAGUUUUGAAUAGAAAUGAGAAAUAAAAAUUUUCUACUUUUCUAAUUUUGUUGCAAAAAUAAAAAUAAAAGCUUUUAUCAUUGCUAACUAGCUACUAGCUAGUCCCACCCAAAAUUUUAAGACCUAAUCGAAUGAAUUUUUAUUCUAAAAGUAAUUUUGUGUCGUUAUCAAAUGCAUAUCUUUACUUAUAAAGAAUAGAAAUAAAUAAAAAUCUAUUUGUGAUUAGAAAUUGUUUGCAUGUGCCCUUUGUACACCAGCUAAGUUAAUCAUAUCCUCCUUAAUAUGUAUCAUCCAUUGAAUAAUAAAAGCCUUUUCCUUUCGGCCCUGUGCUCCCUUGCUGCCAUUUCCGGAAAUCUUCGUCCAAUUCUAUUACAUCAGCAGCGGCUGACUUGGGGAGCAUUUUUUUCCUCACAUCCAUCCAGUCAUAUUUUAACACAUCUCUGUGGAUUUUGAAUUAAAAAUAAAAUUCCUUUGAUGAUCCAUCGGCCAUGGACCUCGGACUAGCCGGCACCCGCCCUUGAACAACACCGCUCCGGAGGCCGAGCUUCAAAUCUAGCCGAGUCGUGGCCUCGACGCCGCACCAGAUCUAGUCCGCCUUCACUUGCUUCAAGCUGAUCCAUGGCCGCCUCCGAAUCUGGUCGACCUCGACUCGACGCCAGAUAUCGUCUGCCUUAAAAAUGGUUCGAGCUCGGCGGCUCCUCCAUGACUGCCGAGAAGCCGUCGAGAUCUGGGUCACAACGUCAAGCUUGGCAGCCAUAGAAGGCUGUCACCUCUAGAUCUAGAGGCUCAAUGGCAAUGGAGGCCGAGCGUCCAGAUCUGGCCGUGGCGAAGGUCGUGAUAUGACCUCGAGUUGCAGCGAUGGCCGCCGUUAGAGGUCGCCUUAAGAGAGGGCGUUAGAAGUUGCAGAGUGCCAUGGACAGAGCGUGUAACAAGAAAGGAGAAAAAAAAAAAAAAAAAGAGAGGAGAAGCAAGGAAUGGCGGGUAAAAACAAGAAAAAGGAACGUCUUUUAUAACUUCUCAAUGGCAUCACCGGGAUGAGCCACUUCACCGACAAUGGACGGCCAGAUCUGAAGAGCCAACAGCGUCGCCGGCCAUGGCGGAUCAAGGUUCGCAAAUGACGCUGACGGCCAUGGAUGGCCAAAUUUGGAGAGCCAGUGGCGUCACCUAGACGACUGACGCCGACGGCCAUGGUUGGCCAGAUCUGAAGAGCCAGCAGCGUCACUGAUGCAUCACCAGCCAGACCAGCUCGUCCAAGGUCAAGUGGCUGGCUUUGGACGAACGAGGAAGACGGAGCUCGAGGGAACAAGUCCCCUGAUAAAGAAACUCCACAUCAAUCUUUUUUUAAUUUUGUUCAAAGAAAUAUGUAAAUUUUUUAGUGGAUUUCAAGGAACGCCACAUCAGCAGUUAGCACCGCUCUUUGAAACUACCAAAUAUUUUCUCCUUUCCUCCUCGCCCAUCUACACGCACUAGCAUAUAAACUAGAAAACCAUUAGGCAGCAAUGGUAGGUAUGGGAAGUGGUAUCAUUCCUGCAUUAGGUAGUUAAAUGUUUUUAACGAGCUUCAUUUGUUGCUGACGCUGUUAGUUAAAUGAUGCAAUAAUUGCAUUUGUAUGUGCAGUUUAUUGGGCGUCUUUCAAUGACAUCCUCUCUUUUGAGCUCUACAGGACAGUGAGAGCAUGGUCAAUGUGAAUCCCAGAAUUGCUGAUGAGUCAGGAGACAAAUUACGAAACUGGAAGCUGACAGAAAUCAAUGAACCAUUACAAUGCCGGUCCAUAAGGCUGCCUGAUAACUCUACGGCUACAAGGGUACGAAUGAUUGCCAGUGCCAAAUUAGCAUGUUCUUAUGCUGCACUUCUUUUCCACCUUAAUCGGUCAUGUUUCUACUAGCUAAGCACAAAUUUGAACAGGGGUCGCAUUUUAUGCACUUGCUUUAUUAGUUUCAUUCACAUGUGGUCCAAUUAUUGAACUCUUAAACCUCAACAAUUGAAGGACUUGUCAUCUCUUCAUUUGGCCUUUUUUUUGUUAACUGAUUUUUUCAACUAUAAAAAUAGGGAAGGAUAAGAGCAACAUUAAUGAAUAUGUGAGUAUGGACUGGCAAUUGUGCUUGAGUUUUGUUGGCUGUGGAGGUCAUAAAUUUUAUGAUAACGGAUGAUUCCUGAUUUAGAAUGUAGUGGUAUGAUUGAAUAACCAGACUUUUUUAGCCUUUACUUGAAAUCUAAUGAGAUGGAUUGUUCUGUGGACUCUCACUUUACAUUGGGUAAAAGGCACAGAUUCUUCGCGAGAUGAAUUUGGCUUUAUAUAUGGCCGGCAAAGUAUAUCAUCGCGCACCAUUUUGAUCUUGUCGGAAUGCUAAGCUUGUGAAUUAAGCUAUUUUGAGCUUGUCAACUCCCGGAAACUUUGAGUGGAAAUUGACCUUCUGAAUCUAAAUUCACGAACACAAGAGGCCAAACGUUAGGUACUCCCAGAAAAGAAUAGCAUGGUGAAGGCACUGUAUUUUUGCACGGAGACCUUACAGAGUUCUCUUAGCUCUAUGGGGAUACAGCUAGACUGUUCAAGUCGAGGUUCUAUGUGAUUGUCUCAACUGGGUUCUGAUGUCAUGGGUAUUGUAUGCUCCAUUCAUAUGUAAAAAAUUAAAAAUACAGUACGUGCACGCGCCCCUAUGCAGAUAAAUAUGCAGGCGGCGUCAUCGAGUGUCUCUUUGCAUAAAUUUCUGCAUCUAUCAUUUAGUGCCAGUUCUUUGGGCUCUUUCUUUUGCAUUUUCUUUUAAAUUUGGGUCUUACAUUUAACUGUCGAUACUGAAGCUAAUAAAAUGAAGCAGGUCUCGAGAUUAAUCUAUACAAAUUCAGGUCUUGCCAUUCUGGCUUUAUCAUCGAAUGCUGUACACAAGCUCUGGAAAUGGCAAAGAAGUGAUCUGAACUUAAAAGGAAGGGUAAGGAAUCUUUUUUUUCUUCUUGAAAUUGGCAAGCUAUUUUAUGGUUUGGGGCAUUGAUAGCUACAUCAAUUCGGCUUCCAAAAAAAAAACUACAUUAAUUCUUCUUUCCAGGCUACAACUAGCGUAGUACCACAGUUACGGCAACCUCCUAGUGGCAUUUUGAUGACCAAUGACAUAAGCUAUACAAAUCCUGAAGACGCAGUUCCGUGCUUUGCAGUGUCAAAGAAUGAAUCUUAUCUUAUAUCAGCAUCAGGGGGGAUGAUCUCUUUGUUCAAUAUGAUGACUUUUAAGGUGAAUAUUUUCCCAAAGGCAUGUUACAUCCUUUUGUCUGUUUUUUGUAGCACUAUCCACGAGGCACGAGAUGAUGAAAUACCCCUUUGUGCUGAAUACGCAUGCAGUAUUUCCUUUUCACAUUUUUAUGGGUCCUAAAAUUAAUUGAUUCUAUUAUGUAUAAAAGUAUUAAACUCUAUAGUGAGGAGGUCCAUGAAAGCAAUUGCUCCGAUUUUCAUGUGGAUUAUUUGGUCAGAAGUGCAGCAUAUGUCCUUUUUUACUUGCCGAGUGAGACAAGGGCUUUACUCUAUCUUCAAUGGAAUCUUUUUGCUCUCACUAAUUAAAGAAAAAAAGACGAGCUUUUUUCACCCAUCCAAAGGUCUGAUGAUCGAACUUGCUAUCUCCCUUUCUUGGGAAGGGGAGAUGCCAUUGAGACAAGUGCCUCUUGGCACAUAUGUCCCACUGUUACUUAUAAAAUUACUCAAUACUCUUACCUGCUGAUAUCCAGGUGAUGACAACGAUUAUGCCCCCACCAACAAACAGUGACAUUAUUGCAAUAGGAAUGGACGACUCCUCUAUUCAAAUUUACAGUGGUCAAGAGGAUGAGGUGAGACCUGAUUUCAUCAUCAUUGAAAGUUAACCUUAUUAUUAUUUGCAACAGAGUUAUGGAUAUUGACUGUUUCACUUUCUCAGGUCAAGACAAAACUAAAAGGACAUCGAAGAAUAAUCAAAGGCUUUUCCUUCCCAACUUCCUUAACUGUUCUCGUGUCUUCUGGCGCCGACUCUCAGGUAUUGGACUACUAAUUUUUUACUUGCUAAGUGAGAAAAGGGCUUUUCUGUAUCUCCAAUGGAAUCAUUUUGCUUGUAAUGAUAAAAUAAAAGAAAGCACGAGCUUUUCUCAUCCAUCCAGAGAUCUAAUGGUCGAACUUGCUCUCUCUCCCCCUUUCCGGAGAAGGGAGAUGCCAUUGAGGCAAGUGCCUCUUGGCACAUAGGUCCCGUUGUUACUUAUAAAGUUGUUAAUACAAUGCUGCCUGCCGAUAUCCAGACAAUCACAACACUUGGGCCUCCACCAGCAGCAACAUUUCUGGCGUUCUAUCCUCGAGAUAAUAACAUCAUUGCAAUAGGAAUGGAGGACUCCUCUAUUCAAAUCUACAAUGUGCGAAUUGAUGAGGUGAGACCUGUUUUCAUUGUUGUUGAAAGUUAACUUGUUAUCUACAAGAAAGUUAGGGAUAUUGACCGUUUCACUUUCUCAGCUCAUGGCAACACUAAGAGGGCAUCAGAAAAGGAUUACGAGCCUUGCCUUCUCUCAUGUCUUGAAUGUUCUCGCGUCUUCUGGCGCUGACUCUCUGGUACCACACUACUACUGCAUCUUACUUUCCAAGCAAACAUGCCUAAGUUUUGGGUGGAGAGCAAUGUAGUUUAUAGUGCCCCCGGAAAAGGGUUGAUGUUCACUCUCUGGAUUUAUUGAUGCUUAUGUCCUCAGCAUAGGUCAUGAAAUGAAGGCAUCCUUUACUGGCAGAAUAAAUCCUUCCAGAAAACUUCAUCUUUUGUGUUGACAAAUUAAUCCCAUCCCAUUAAGUACGAAAAAAGAAGCUAUGAUGAUGUCCUGUUGCUGCUUACAGCAGACCAUCGAUGUGAUUCUGAUAUGAAAACACAAUGGACAAUUUUAUUCAUUCAUUUCUGCAUCAAUGCCAAUAUCCCUUUUGAUGAUUGUCUAUCAUCACUGCAGUUGUGUGUUUGGAGCACUGAUGGAUGGGAGAAGCAGGCUAGUAAGUUUCUGCAGAUGCCGAAUGGGCGAGGACCGUGUCCUCUUGCUGAUACUCGCGUUCAAUUUCAUGUGGAUCAAGUACAUCUGCUGGUUGUUCAUCAAACACAGAUCGCCACAUGUGAAGCUCCUAGACUAGAACUCCUCAAGCAGGUAUUGAAGAUUUUUUUGUUGUGCAUGAACCAAUCUAUCAUCUCAUUGUGAUUGCAUUAAAAUUAUUGAAAUAUUAGGUAGUAUGAGUUGCUUUGUGCCAAAUGUACUUUUUUUGAUUCGUUGUUCAUCGCAACUAGUGGGACACUCGAGAAGCUAGCGCUCCAAUCACAGAUGCUGCAUAUUCAUGCAAUGGCCAAUCAAUAUAUGUGAGCUUUGAGGACGGAAGCAUUGGUGUUCUUAUUGCUCCUACACUCAGAAUGAGAUGUCUCAUAAAUCCUGCUGCGUAUAUCCCUCCAACCCCCAGGUAAGCUGGUUAUUGCAGCUCACUUAAUAUGAAAAUGGCAAGUCUCAUUUGCGAAGUUCCAAUUGUCUCGUGAGUUUUUCAUUCCUCAAUGUCAUACUUGGCAGCUUGAAAGUCUACCCGAUAGUCAUUGCGGCACAUCCGUCCGAACCUAACCAGUUUGCACUAGGGCUUACCGAUGGCAGCGUCUAUGUGCUUGAGCCAUUGGAAUCUCAAGGAAAGUGGGGAACUCCUCCAUUUGUCAGGUACAAGCGCAACCGAGUCAGAUCAACCCCCAAGGUAGUGCAGGCCACGUCUCUCCUGUGAAAAGGAAAAUUUCAUCUUCCUUUCGUUAGCAGGUUCUCCUUUCUUGUUCUUUCACCGCAAAAAGAAAACUUCAUCUUCCUUUCACCCUCCUGUUAUGAAGGCGGUUUGAGUGCAACAGCACUCAAGACCUUGGAUGACAAGUAAAAACUUCACCACGGUCAAUCUCAACGUUUGCUUAUCGAAUUGCCAUUAUUAAGAAUCAAGUUCCAUCAUUUUGAGGAGGAUAUAGCGUUUAACCUCAGCUAGGGUACAGAAGUGAGUUAUUCCUCCAGGUUCUGUAGUUUGUUUGACCACUUGAUAUUUUCAUUUGCAAAUGAACACGAGCAGGUGGGAGUAUGAGGACGAGACCUUUUUGAUCUCAUCUAUAUUCUGGCCACCCUACCUUAUGGUACUAUGCUAUCUGCUUCGGAAGAUUGUUAAUUCUCAUCACAUGAGCCUAUGUUGUCAUAGCAAAGUGCUUGCACCUCAAACCAAUGGAGAAGCUGGAAGUGCAAUCUGAGGGCAUCUGAUUUGAUUCUUAUGUAGCGGGUUCAACCCUUCACAAUUUUGGAUAUCACACGUAAAAGGCACAUUCAUCUAAAUACUGAAUUUGCAGAACAAAUAGCAAAGUGAAACUAGCUCAUACAUUUUCUUCAGACAUUUCCACAUAAUUUGGAAUUAAUUUAAGUUAUAAAUCGGAAAGAUAGUGGGUUUCCUCCUUUUUGAGAAGAAGUUAUCGACGUGGGAGUUCGGAAGGGAAUUGGAGUCUGUUUGGCGAAAAUGGAACUGAAUUGGCCGGUGACGGUAGACCGGAGAUGAUUGCUCGACAGGGUCUGGUUUCUGGGCUUUUAUGGGUCCGAGUAAUGCAAGUUGGACCUAACAAAUGUGGAUGGGCCAUGGGCUUUAGCUUGGACGAAUGGAUCGAGCCCAGCGCAUGAAUGAAUAUCCUUUAUGAAUUGAAGUCCCUUUUAAGUUUUUUUUUUUCAUUUUGAUUUUAUUUAUUUUUCAAUAAAAACUGCCUAAAUUGCCGAUUUUGCUUAUAUUUUCAACUAAAGAAUGAAGUGACGACAGCAACUCCAACACCUUGAAAUUGGGCGAAGCAAUUUCCUAAACGCAAUUUCCAUUGACACAUGUGAAGCUCAAAUAAGCAUUAUGUUUACUAAGUCUAUAUUCGUUUCCUUUUAUUUUCUAUUUUCUGAAAGUUAGAAAUUUCAACAUAACACAGUAUGGACAACCAAUUGAACUACUAUUGGAAUUAAUAAAAUUUCAAUGUCGAACAUUAUCAAUUAAAUUUUAGUCCCAAACCAUCACAGAAUAACAUGCAAAUUUUUUUAUUGUGUAAAAAAAUUCUUUGAGCUCUCUAAUCUAUACUACUCAAGGACGGGUGCUUUUCGCCUCUGGCCUUAUGCCGCCUUAUUUCUCUAGUUUUGUUGUUCGAGAAUAUGAAUGGCAUGGGAUUCUUUUGUUUAUUGACUACUAUCUAUACAUAGUAAUGUAGAAUCCCCAUGAAGGUGUAGACACAGGAUGUUCGGUGUGUUCAGACUUGACAAUAUCGUCAUUUAGAUUUGUCUAUAGAAAUCGGCAAGGAAACAUACCUCUCUUCAAUUUUCUUAACCUUUUUCCGCAUCAUAUCUUGGUUUUUGAUAAGAGUUUGAUUAAACUGGGGACCACAAGGAGCCACAUCUAUUACCAUUCUGUCCUAGUGAAAUGCGUUGCAUCUGAUUGUGAUAUUGAAAACAAGAAAGAACAAGCAAAACAACAAUCAGCCAUGGCUUCGGGCGGCCCUCUCCUCAAGUUCGAAACAUCCGAAACCGCAAAACAUAAAACAAAGAAGAAUAAACCCUUACUUCUGCCAUGGCCUUCUUUUCUUCACCAAGUUAUUCCAGAUUACUAUGGAAAAUCUUUGAAGUCACGGCUUUCUUGACUGCUUCUAGUUUGGAAUUUUCUCUUCUAUGUUGGCUUCUAACAUGAGAAACUCAUAAUGGGGAUGAUACGUUCCAAGGACUAAAAAGUAUACUCUAAAGCCAGUCUAAGGAUCGUUGACAGCUGAAUUUUCCCUACUGCUAUUCUGAGAAAAUUUUGUUAAUAAAGAAAGAUUGCAAGUACUCGGGUCAACUUAGUUUGACUGGGACGGAGCGGCCCGAUAGAACUCGGCCCGAUCCGGUCCUAAACUGUGUCUCUCUCUGGCCAAUAAGCGAUUCCCUGGUUCGCAAUUUCAAGCUUCCAAAUUGAUGCAAUGGCCGUCGCCAGCGUCUGUAGCCUCUUCACCGCUGCAACUCGUCUCCUUUGUUUCCCUCUGUGCCGCGGCCGAGAGCUUUGUGAAUGUUCUCGUUCUUCUCCACCUGUUUAGGUUUCAUUUCGAUCAUCGACACAUUCUAGAGCGUCCUUCGGUGAUUCGUGCGGCCAACCACGACCUCAAUCCACUUGAUUAACCCGGUUGCAUCUCUUGCUCUGUUCUCGCAAGUGAGAGGCUGAGAGUGCGCUUCUCUGAUUGUGAUGAAAUUGAUCCUAUUUGAAUCCGUUUCUUUGAUUUCGAACAUCAUGUACUGAUUUAGGUUGAGUUUAGUUGUAAAUUGGAGUUCGAAAUGGCGAUGCUCUGUUCCUCAACCUAUUGACCAUAAUCUGUUCGAUGAAACGUGUCUAAGACCUUGUCAUGAAUUGACUUCAGUGAUCGUCCGAUUCGAAAGCACAUCAGUGAUGUUCACAUGAUAUUUUUUGAUUUGUUAAUCUUUAGACAUGAUAACGAGUAUAUGCCAUAUUUGCCAAGAAUAAAACCGACUCUCCAUUUGUUUUCUCCGUGCUUCUUGUGAUCCUUUGGCGGUCAGUGGUGGUCGCCAGCGAGAGGAGAAAGCUUGCGGUCGCUGGUACAUGCAUUUAUCUUUAGUGAUGAUCAUAGUACGCCCUGUCAAACAGAAUCGAGAUGAUGUCACUUAGCAUUAAUAGCGAUCAUGCCAGCUCGGAUCAUGAAAUUUGGUUGACCCAGGUCACUGACUGGAGCAAUGUUAUGGCCGGUUGCUAUCCAUGUCCUUGCCACUGAGUCUCCGCGCAAUCUCCUUGAGAGCCAAGCUUUGCUUCUGUCCAUGCCUUGCAGUCCAUCCUUGCUAAUUGCUGUGGUAAACCUUACCAUAAUGGUCAUCCAAGUGACCUCCGCUCGUGACAGCAUAGUCAUCAGAAGAUACUGCCAUAGAUUACCGCUAUGGAUCGACGUGCCAAUAGAGCUAUAUCCACUGCGUGUCGUUAAAAUCGGAUCGCCUCAUAGCACCAGGUUAUUUCUGUUCCGACUGAGUUUAGAGUUGAUUGUAUGUUCGGAUUUCCUUCACUGCUUUGUUUUCAUGCUCAGGUUGCCGUGCGUCUUCUUAAAACGAAUCAUGGGAAAGCUAACUGCGUAGAAUUCCAGUCGUUAUGGGGUCGAUACUUUGUCAAAAAUCAUUGUGCAUUACCUGCUUCGCCAUUCCUGUCUCGUCCUUCGGUUAUUGAUUACUCCACCUUCAUCAAUUUCAUUGUCCGGAGGCAGAUAAUCAAUCUAAGAGCACCCACUAAAAUAACAUUCUAUUUGUGUCAUAACUUCUUGCUCCAUUCUCUUCGCAUGAUAUAUUCUACUUCACUGCAUGUUAUUGAGGGAAAUCGAUGUUCGACAAUCGAUAUGAAGUGAGCAACUUAUACUUAUUUUCCGUCUUUAGUUGAUAGUUUCUGCGUAUGACAAUCAACAAAUGAAACCAGUUAAUAGCUGCUUGGAUUUAGUAAAUUGCAGAUUUACUUCUAUCUUGGAAGUGUUGAUAUCAUCGCUUUGUCCCGAUUGUGGAAAGAGUUUUGUUCAUUUUGAGCUUGCAUAAGAAUCGAUGGAAUGCUGAUGGAGCAAUGAGUAGUGCUGAAAUUUCAGAAUUUUGACAUCAGUAUGAUCACCCUGUACUUGUGAACAUACGCCUAUCUUAUUGUGCAUGCUUGGCCACUGCUAUUACUUUUGUCACUCUUUGACUCAUGAGAAAUAUGAGAUAAGAGUGACAGGACCAUCGGAUCAAACACACGUGAUGAGACAUUGCAAAAAUUCUUGUGUCAGAACAUGAUAAUCAACAAAAAGUAACUCCAAUAAGCCAUUCCAUUGACCUAUUCCAAAUCUCCAAAUAAAUGUCAUGCUAAUUUAAAAGAAAUCCUGAACUUAGUAAGCACAAUAGAGUAAAGGAAAAUUCUAUUUUUCAUUCAUAUACUUUCACGCUUUUCUAAUCAUGUCUAUACUUUUAAUUUGCCUAACCAAGUCCAUCUACUUUAACAAACUUUCUAAUCAAGUCUUUCCAACACUAAAUACGACCAAAUUCAACUAAAGUGGCCCUUCGAUGACAACAAUGUAUGAUGUUGAUAAAAUAUGCAGAUGCCCACGUGGACAUGUAUGGAAAAAUUUAGCCAAUGUAGAUGACCUCGAAGUGUGACAUGGACAAAAUAAUGGAUGCCCACAUUAGAAAAUUUUUAUCCAUGUCACACAACGAAGACAUCUGACAGUCACAUCAGUUGGAUUUCGCCUAAUUUGGUGUUAGAGAGACUUGAUUGGAAAAUUGGUAAAAGUAGAAGAACUUUAUUUAACAAAUUAAAAGCACAAGGGACUUGAUUGGAAAAAAUGUGAAAAUACAGGAUAAAAAAAAAUACUGCCACAACUGAUAUAGCUAAUAUUAAUUAUCAAAAACCAACAAUUAAUCCACAGUCAGCAGAUUAACAGAGAGAUAGUGGCAGUAGCUGAGAAAUUACAUUAUAAAUUCAUCUAAUCUGCAUCAGCAGAAGAAUGUCUAACCUGACAAGACAAGUAAGUCCAUUUUGUACCUCAUGAGCAAUGAAAGGAAUGGUCACACUGCGUACUCAAAAUUCCACUGGGUCCAAUCUCUCUGACAUUUAAAAAAAAAAGUCCAUUUCAUCAACGAAUUCUAAUUCCUCGAAUUCUCUCUUUCGCUUACCCAAGUCCCGAAGAAGAGGAGGAGAGAAAACAGAAACGAUGGAAGCCUUACCUGAUGAACCGGAGCUCGGAGACGUCGUCCAUCCGGGGGCCGCAGAACUGGAUGAAGUCGUCGGGGGAGAAGUAAUUGGGGACGGCGACGACGAAGAGGGUGGUGAAGCGGGCGCCAGGCCUCAAGAGGGGCACGUGCGACAGCGUCCGGAACAGGUGGACCAUGCCCCUCCGCUCGGUGAACCUAGGGAUCCCUGGCGGCGGCGAGGAGGAGAAGAAGCCGCCGUAGUCGAUGGCGAGGGGGUGGUCGGUGUCCACCGAGUGGACCCGGAGGAAGAACAUCUUUUCCCCUCCGGGCUUGCUGCGAUCGACGGGCUGAGUCGAAUCGCCCGAGUUGGAGAAGAUUGCAGUACUGCGGAGCAGAGAGAAGAAACUCGCGGGAACUGCAAGGAGGAUAAUUCUUCCUGGAAUUACAACGGUUGCUACUUUCCACCCAAAUAAUUAAAAAAAGAAAAACUAAUUGCUUGUUGAGUUGAGAUUUACACAAUAAACAUAUUUUACUCAUUUCGGGUGUUUGAAAUAAUUAAAAAAAUUAAAUUUGAAAUUGAUCAUACGUAGAUUGCUAUCCGUUUUCAUUGAUAUCAAAUUACUUUUGAUUGAGCAAAUCUAGAAUUAUGUGUAUUAUGGUAAGAAGUACGUUAUGUGAUUGCUUAUGAACAAAAUAAUUUUGUAAUCAUCUCAUUCUCAUUUAUUAUUAAAAUGAUGAUGCAUCUGGAUUGAUAUUGGUAAUUAAUUCUAUGGACAUUGAGAAAGCAAAAAAUGAUAAAAACAUAGAUUGACCCAGCCGUAGAUUCUAUUUCUUUUGCUUCGUCUAACAAACAAAACAUGACUAAAAAAGCUAGAAUACCAUUAGAUAUUCUAAAACUGAAAUGCAAAGGCAGUCGAGUGUUUAUUCGGAGUAAAAAUUGCUAUUACAGGUGAUUAUUAUGCGGGCCUAAUUUGGACCAACAUCAGGAUUAACGUGUUGGUCAAGCUCGCUCAUAAAAUGAAUCACAUAUAAAAAUGUUGGGGCACCACUCAGGCAAAGGUUGGGCAAGCCAAGAUUUUUUAACGUAAGGAUACUAUCUAAGCCCGCCCAUUCUGUCGAGUCUGCAUAAGUUGAGUGGGUUAAUCACUUCUAAUGGUCGCAGUCGUACUACAUUGUGGUUGUAUCGUAAGUCAUGUGACUGGAAUAGCAUCUCAAAACUAGGUGAGACAACUUCUAAAAACUACUAUAAAUUGAUGAAGUUUUGAGGAUGGUGCAAUUUUGAGCAAUUUUUACUGAAUGUACAAUAUACCUUUACAUAAUAGUAGCAACUAUAGAAAAGUUGUAUUAAACAUACUCAAAAGGUCAAUGUUAAGAAAAUUAAUACCAUAAGUACCCAAAUUCUUCCUAGUUAUGCAAUCUACAGUACACAUGAUAACUAUUAUAUUUUUCUUUUUUUAUUUUAUUUUUUAUUCCCAAGAAUAGAACAUAAAUCUGUUUGGUAAUGUAAUUUUAUUUUUCUAUUAUAGAACAAAUUUUUACUCCAAAAAUAUAUUUGGAACAUAAAUUAGAAGUAAAUGUUUUUUACUUUACUAUUUUUGGAAUAAAAGUGAGAAAUAAAAACUCUCAUUAUUGAUUGCUUUUAACACCGCCUACCACCUACCGCCCACCCGCCCGUUGCCCACCACCGGUCACCCAUCGUCGACUACCUAUUGUUGCUCGCCAUUGUCAGUCGAUUACCUCUAGCCCACCAGUCACCACUUGUUGCCACUCAUAAGAGAAAAUUUUAUGUCGUUAUUAAAUAAAUACAAAUAGAUUUUUUAUAUCCUAUUUUGCUUUAGAAACUUAUCUAGGAAAUAUAAAUUGAUUUCUAGAAAAAAAAUAGUUAUUAUUUGUGUCCAAAUAACUAAAAUUUGUUUUUGAUCAAUUAAGCACCUCCACUAUAAAAAAUGUCUUGAUGUUAGACUUUUGUGUCAUGUCAUAUAAUUUUGCUGACCAUCUGAUUUAGGCACAAACAACGAUGUGGAAAGUUAAGUCAUUAUCUAUUUCCAACCCAACGCAAGAAAAAAAAAAAAAAAAAACUUCCCUUUCCUUGCUUUUUCUCUUUUUACUUUCCUUCGUGUUUUUCUUCUUCCUCCUUCCUUCGCCUACUGCCGUUGCCACUACCACCGGCAACCAUACUUAGUGGCCACCAUCUAUAGUCACACUGCUAUAGCCAGUUUUGGGUUGGUGGCAAGGCACAAGGGUUGACGUCUUUGGCGAGAAUAAUGCUAAGAGGAAGAGGGCGAGGAGGUGGAGCAGUUUUUCUUCUUAUGUAUUUCAUUGGAAGAAUGAGGAGACUAUCUAUCAUUACAUUCACCUAAUCAAAACAUCGACUUCAGCAAAAAUCAUGUGAUCUGAUACAUAAAAUCUUAAUAUCAAACCAUAUAGCAAAAGUCGAGACAUUUAAUUUAAUAUAGGAAUACUAGAUUGUGCGAUGAGAAAAAGUUUGGACUCGUGCGAAGUUAUUACAACUAGAAUGUUGAGCAUUUCAAGCUGAGAAAAAAUUCUGAUUAUGUGAAGACUAAAAAACUCAUUGUUUUUUUCAAUCUCUUUCUUUCUUUGUUAAGAUCAGAUUAUGUGAAGACCUAACAAAAAUUUUGAGAAAAAAUGAACUCCUCAAGGAAAACAUGCAUUAUUGAGAGAAGAAAAUGAGAAUGCUAAAACUUUUCUUGGAGAGCCUGGUUUAGGUCGAAAGCCUGGUUUCCAAGUAGCACAUCAAAUUAGGACAAGUUAGUCUUCGAGACUAGUUUUAAAGCGGGCAGUCCAAGUUUGACUGUUUUUUUUUUUAAUGCAUAAGAACCAACCUUUUUUCCAAGAGUUUCAUCUUCACGAAGCAUUCUCACACCAUUACACUAUGUCAAAUUGCCAAUCACAAUUUUUUUUCUCCUUGCUUUUUUUUUUUCCUUUUCUAUGGAGCACAAAAUUCAUUGAGGAAAAGAGGGAAAAAAAAAAGUAACAAUUACAUAGUUGAAAAAGAUCGCUCUUGGCAUAUUGAGAUCUUCUCAAUUAGAGAAGACCAUACAAUCCUUUCAUUUGCUUAUCUUUUCUCUAUCAUCUCUUUGUCCAAAGGUCGAUGACCUUGAUUUUACUUCAGAGAAAGAUCGGGUAAGUUGAUGACGAGACCCACAUGAUUAAUGAUCCAAACAAUCUGAUUUACAUGAUCUGUAAACCUUAGGCUAUGCAUGACACCAACAUAGGUGACGUAGUGUCCGGAGGGUAGAGAGGUGGGAUAAAAUUCAAGAUACGAUAUGAUUUAUCAUAUCCUAUGUUUGGUGCUUACUCAGGACAGUAUAUAGUCGAAUAUAAGAGGGAUAUAGACAAGAUAAAAUUAUCCCAUGGGGGAGGUGGGAUAAAUGUGGAUAUGAUUUCUAAUGUUCAUAAUAGGAAAUUUAUUUUUCUCGAAUAACAAACUUAUUAAAUUAACAAAAUUGAAAUUAUAUUUCAAUAUAAAUAAUAUUUGAAUUCUAAUUUAAGAAAUAAGAAAUAAGAAAUUUAUUUUUAAUUAAUCAUAUUUUAAUUUAUAUAUUCAACUUUAAUUCUAUCUUAUAAUAAACAUUCAAUCUAUAAAUUAAAUAUUUAUAUUUUUUAAUAUAUUUUAGGUAUUUUUGUAUUUUAGGGAUGUUAGUACAGUUUACUAUUUGAUAAAAUUUUAUGAAAGAAUGAUGAAAGGGGAAAAAAGAAAUAAUAAAGAAAAUAAUAUAAAAAAGAGGAAAAAUAAAAUAAAUAUAAAUUAAGGAAUAGUGUUACGAGAGAUUUUCAUCAUCUCCGUUUAUGAACAUUUAGGUUCAUUUAUAAUGAUAUGUCGUUUAUAUAUAAUAAAAAAAAUAUAUAUGAAAUGAUGUGAAUAUAUCCGACUUUAAUACUGCGAUUCACCAAACAAUAGAUAUGAUAUAAAAAAAUUCCAAGAUUUCAUAUCAUAUUCCUAUCCAGUCCUAUCCCGGUUAGAAAUCCGAACGACCAAACGUAUAUAGUAUGGCUUUUUCCUUUCCCCAUCCCUUGUGCUACAAGCCCAUUAAUGACUCGGUUCCCUCCUUUUAAACUUCCACACCAAACACAUUAUCUCCCUUCGACCUUAUGACGCAGUCCCCUCCUUUUGAACUUCCACACCAAAGACGUUAUUUCCUUUCGACCUUUGACAUAUAUACCUUGAAAUUCCAUGUCUUCUAACCUCAUCUUAAUCCUCACAUCUCCUCCACCAUCAUUCCACAUCUCUAGUCCUUCAUUUGCUUUGGGCUUUUUGAUAGUUUGUUCUCGAGAAAUUUGAGCAAAGACACGCUUUGAUUGGGUAGUUGUCUUUGUGUUCGAUGGCACCUAGUACUAUUUGAAAGGCAAUCGGGCCCGUCAAUGAUUAGAUAAGUGUUCAUAAAAUUCUAAACGCAAGUGAAUGUGUCGAACAAGUACUAUAAUGAUGAGAAAGAAUAUCGUCUCACGGAGAUCGAUGAUUAAUAAACUAAUUAAAUACUAAAAUAUAUUAAUUCUAAAAUUUAUCUAACAUAUCAAAAUAGAAUUGAGAAUAAAUUAAAAACAAAAUUUUGUAGACUAAAUGCAGUAAAUCAAUUUGAUAAUUAUGUUAGAGCAUCCGAUUUCACCAUAACCACUAGAUAUGAAUUUCAGAUUGUUGUGAAUACAAGAACGAUAUCAAGCGGAAUUUCCUAAUCUAUUUACUAUCCUAUCUCUAGGUAUAACAAAUUUACUCAGCUUAUUAAUCCACUAUAUCUCUAUGUGAAUUAAAAUAAACAUAAGUGCAUUAAAAAUUAUGAAUAUUCCCGGCUUAUAAUGAGUCUUUUGGAUCACUUUAUCAACGAAAUCUACACAAAUAAAACGGUAUAUCUCUAUCAACAUUUAAUUCAUGGUUAUAUAUUAUAAUGAGCAAUUGCAUAUUAUCACUUUUCAGUCUCAAACAUGCACAUCAGAUUAUUCAAGUGAUGGUCAGUCACUCGAAAGCAUUACGCACAAUAAAAUAUAGCUCACAUGAAUGAAAUCAAUUGUAAAAUAUAAAAAUCAUGAAAUUCACAUAAUCAUGUUUAGGCUACAUUGUAGCCCUAAGAAAUAAAAAUAUAAAUCAAACCUAGCAUUUUGAAUCAAAGAACAAGAAUUCUGUCAUCACUUUUGUCUUCUCUUCAAAAUACUUGAAAAACUCUCAUAACAAUAAAAAACGAUCUAACAAAAAUCUAGUUGCUCUCUCUGGCUCUUAAUGUUCUCCUCUUCAAAAGAUAUAUCCCAGAUAUCUAUCUCCCAACGCUUGCAGAUAAUAUUAGGGAACAAAAUCAAGAAUUUUCUGAUUUGAUAUUUAUCUUCCACUGCUUUUUUUUAUUUGAAUUCCUGAUAUUUGCCAUUUUUUUCCUUAUCUUCUCCAUAUCUCAUUAUUCUGCAUAAACAAGGAAAAUUCGAAUAAUCAGAAAGAAAUCCAAAUAUUUUCUGAUAGAUAUUGCAUUAAUUGUUGCCUAAAAUAGGUAAAAUAACUUUAUUUUUAUAGAGUUAUCAACAAGCAUUGGCAUAGCCGAGGUCUCAAACAACUUGGCGGUGCAGCUCGAGAUCCUGGUGGUGAAGGCCACUAGCCAUGAUGAGGACCUCGCGGACUAGAGGCAUGUCAGGGAGAUUCUCACCUUCACCGCGCACUCCAAAGCGUACCUUGACACCUGUAUUGCCUUAAUCUUAAGGCAGCUGAGCAAGAUGCACGAUUGGAUGGUGGCCCUCAAGGCCCUCCUACUUGUGCACUGGAUAGUGGUCGACGGCCAUCCCGGUUUCAAAGACGAGAUCAUCUUCACUUCUUGCCGCAGGAUGCGGAUGCUCAACAUGUCGCACUUCCAAGAUGAGGCUUAUUCAAAUUCGGGGGACCAUUCGGGUUUCAUGAGGUUCUACAUUAUGUAUCUUGAGGAGAAGGUCGAAUUUUCGGUGGUUGAGAAGAGACAGGAGGGCGGCGGCUGAUGAUGCAGAGGGGAAAUAUGAAGAGAGAAAUGAAUUUGCUCAACAUGUCGCACUUCAAACGAUUAGAGAAGCCAGAAGUGCAAUCUGAGAGCAUCUGAUUUGAUUCUUAUAUAGCGGGUUUAACCCCGACAAUUUUGGAUGUCACACCUUGAAGGCACAUUCUUCUAAACACUAAAUUUUUCUCCAGACAUUUCCACAUAAUUUGGAAUCAGUUUCCCUUAUAAAUCAGAACAAUAUUGGGUUUCCCCCAUUUUGAGAAGAGUUUCUUGACCUGGGAGUUCUAAAGGAAAUUGAAGCCUAUAUGGCAUAGUUUUAACUAAAUUGUAUUUGUAUCAUAUUGCAACAUACCAUAAUUUCUACAUUUAGUAGCACAUGUUUUAUAGUUGUCAUGACCCUCUCGACUAGGCAAGAAAGAAUAGGUUUUGAGGUAAUGUCAAAGGCGAAGAUUCUUCUAAAUCCUUAUCUCAUGUGACAUUGGUUUUUUAUUUUAAAGAUUUUAAAUUUUAUUAUAAUCUGAAAAUAAGGACCUGGGCCGGGCCCUUGGGCCUAGUCCGGACAUGAGCCGCACGCUGGUCUCACGAAUCUGGGCUAAUGGGUACAAUUUGGGCUUUUAUAUCCAGCCCCCUCCAAUUCUAACUUUACUGAGCCCAAGUCAGAUGACACCCAUCUUAAACCCAUUACCCAUGGUAAAAACCUCUAGCCCACUUUCUCUCCUAACUGCACCGAUUCCAUCUUUAAGCCCAAUUUCUGUUAUAGAUAAAUUAAACCCUAAUCCCACGCUAACCCCAUAUUAUUAUUAUUCGUUUCCCAUUUUUCCUCUUUUCUUACAUCUUUCAUCAUCAUCAUCAUCAUCAUCAUUAUUAUUAUUAUUAUUUAUUCUUCCAGCCCGUCAUCCUCUUCAAAGCAAAUUGAUAAUCUGCCAGCUCAUUCGUAGAUAAAUACAUUAAAUCCACAUAACAUGAGCAUUAUAUUUCAUUGUCCAUUUGUAUUAUAAGAAUCGAAUCUAAAUGCUAACGGACUGACUAGUAGCAAGUAAUAUAUGCGAAAAUUUCUUCCAAUAGAAAUGGAUCAAAAAUUAUAUCACUGACGUGUCUUGGAGACGUUUCAUCAAAUAGUCUAUGGGCAUCGAAGGGAUUGAAUCUAGUCAUGAAAUUGAAGCUGUGUUUUCGUCUAAAAUUAGUGUCAGAACCAAAAGCCAUCACAAUUAAUCAAAUUACAGCCUAGAUCAUCAAGUGAUUUUCACAUGAGUUUACAUGAACGUGAUUGAGUCACGCAUCUUUCCAAAACGGGGUAGGAAAGGGGGAUGAAAUCACCUUGUCAAGGAGGAGUUCUCGGUUUCAGUUACAGGGUCAAGCUUGCACAAAGAAGAUCUGAAAACUGUUGCCCCAUGAGAGUACGCGCUGGCAACGAAGCUUCGAACACCUUACAUCUCAAAAAUUAUUACCAAACCGUGUCCAGUGAAGCAAUUUCAUUAACAGCUGUUGUAAUCUUGAAGGGGCUAUAAUUGUGAAAUAUUUGCCGAACACCUUACAAAAUCUUCAUCACCCAUCUUUUACAGUUCAAGUUACCACAGAAGAGCCUACCAAACAGUCUCUCAAAAAAAAAAAAAAAAAGCUCUUUGUACAUCUAACAUUAAUUCUUUUUACUCUUUCCAAAAUCAUUCACAUAUUUUUAGAUGGUCAUAAUUUGAAUAAGUUAAAUAGUAAUUUCUAUGAGAGUCAAAUUAUUAAUUCGAAACCUUCAAGCAAAGAAUUAUAAAAGAAGAUUGCCAAUGGCAUUGGGAGGCGAUUUGGCAAAAGAAGUAUUUCUAAUAGGUAUAGUAAGUCAGAACUCAACAAAAACGUCAAUGGAAGCGUUUGAUCAUGAAGAAGAAGAAGAAGAAGAAGCAGCAGCAAUACCAUUCGCUAAGGGAGAACUCACGCACGCAGAAGGGGAGGAGGAAGCAGGGGAAAAUGGCUCCCAUCUUCGAUCAUCUCCGGUCACCAUUGCAUAACCUUUUCGCCGCGGUAUCUCAAGUUCCGAUAUAGCCACUAGCUACCAUGGCGUCGAUUAUUACAAGUUAACAACUCCUUCGCUGGUCGCGCGGUCAACCAUCAGUCUCAUGAGGAACACAUUUGCUCAUUUCAUCGAGAGCACCAUUCCAAAAACCAAAAAAAAAAAAGAACAUCGAGCAAGGAAAAUUCAUCUCAAAAAAGCGAUUCCGUUCGAUUCAGUUGGCGAUUUCAAGCGUUCUGAAUUGAUCCCAGUGGCAGUCGCCAGCAUCAACAGCCUCUUCGAUGCCGCGACUCAUCUCCUUCGUUCCCCUCUGUUCCGCGGCUGAGAGCCUCGAAAUGUUCCAGUUCGCUCGGAGCUUCUCCACCUGUUCAGGUUUCCAUCAUCGACACGUUCUAGAGCUUCUUUUAGUGAUUCGUGCGGCCAAUGGUGGCGUCAAUCCGCUUGUUAACCAGGUAGCAUCUCCUGCUCUUUUCUCGCAAGCAAGAGGCCGAGAGUCCGAUUCUCUGAUUAUGAUGAAAUUGAUCAUAUUUGAAUCUCUUUCUUUGAUUUUAAACAUCAUGUACUGAUUUAGCUUGAGUCUAGUUGUAAAUUUUCGUCCGAUUUGAAAGCACAUUAGUGGUGUUCACAUGAUAUUGUUCGAUUUUUCAAUCUUCAGACAUGAUUACGAGUAUAUUCCAUGGUUGCCAAGAAUGAAACCGACUCUUCCUUGGUUUUCUCUGUGCUUCUUGAGAUCCCUUGGUGAUUAAUGGUGGUCGCAGGCGAGAGGAGAAGGCUUAAGAGGCGCUGGCACAUGCAUUGACCUUUGGUGAUGAGCAUAGUAUGCCUUGUCGAACAGAAUCGAGACAAUGUCGCUGAGCGUGAAUCGCAAUCACGCCAAUUCAGAUCAUGAAAUUUGGCCAACACAUGUUAUGGUCACUAACUGGAGCAAUGUUAUGGCUGGUUGCCAGCCGCGUCUUUGCUGCUGAGUCGCCCCACAAUGUCCUCAACUGCACAAUGUCUCGAUACUUUGUUACAAAAUCAGUGUGCGUUACCUGCUUCUCAAUACCUGUCUUGUUCUUUGAUUAUUGAUUACUCCACCUUGGUCAAUUUCAUUUUCCAGAAGCAGGUAAUCAAUCUAGGAGCACCCACUAAAAUCACAUUCUAUUUACGUCAUCUACUUCCUGCUUCAUUCUCUGUGCAUGACAUAUUCUACUUCACCGCAUGCUGUUGAGGGAAAUCAUGUUCGACAAUCAAUAUGAAGUGAGCACGUUAUACUUAUUCUCUGUCUUUAGUUGAUAAGCUUUUGCAUAUGGCAAUCAAUGAAUGAACCAGUUAAUAGCUUGCUCAGAAUUAGUAAAGGAGGAUCUACUUCUUUUCUUGGAAGCGUCGAUGUCAUCACUUUGUCUCCGAUGGUGGGAAGAGUUCAUUGUUCUUUUUGAACUUGCAAAAGAAUUGAUGGAAUGCUCAUGGAGCAGUGAGUAUCCGAAAUUUACAAGUUAUAUGAAUUGGUGUGUCCUGUUGCUGCAUAUGCUGGAGUUUAGUGCUUAUUGAUCAUCUAUGUCUGCUGAACCGUUUGAUUUAUCACUUCAAUCAACAGAAUUCUGAUAAGACACAUGGCAAUUGUGAGAGAUGCCUUGAAACUGGCACUUUGGUGAUGAUAGUGCUACUUCCUGUCAAUUGUAUGUAAUUGUUUUAGGAAAAAACAUUUAUGAUAUUGGAGAAGUGAAUAUGUGUUGAAGGUGCCUUGGAUUUGCAAUAAUAAAACCCUAAAACCCUAGUGAUCUUGGAUCCAUUCAUUGCAGAAAUGGAGAGAUAUAAUUUAUACAUGGACGAUGUGAAUAGGUCGCUGCUGAGCUUCUUGCAUGUUUAUUGAAUUUAAUUUGCAUAACUGGUUGAGGCUAGCAUUUGAGUAGUGCUGGAAUUUCAAAACUGAGAGAAAUUGAAGAAUUUGAUGUUAGAUUAUCUAAGUCAAUGCCGACAAUUAGCAGCAUGUUUGAGCUAAUCAAGUUCUGUCAUCUGAGCAUAUUAAAGUUGUCGCCUAGUAGCGCAUCACUUAGUCCUUUGUAGAGUAAAUGCACCAUUUAGUUAGAAAUUCAUGCGUAAGGUUUCAAAGAGGUGAGUCUCAUGCAAUAUAAUGAGAAUUGAGCUGACAUGUAUGAUGAAUUCGCAGACUAUACCUGCUUCUUGAAUGGUCCCCACUUUGGAAGCCAAUGGAAUUGUAGGCAUUUCCGUUUAAAGUAUUGACUCUCGGGUGUUUAAACUGACUGUUGACUUUUGACUUUCCUUCUCCGCACUUGAUUCAAGUUUUGAGGGAUGCUGCAGAGGUUAGAUUUUUCAGCCUCGGGGUACUUCCUCUGGACGUAGUUCAGUACAGUUUGUCUUAGAGUGGUACAAUUAGCAUCUCAAUCAACUUCUGCUCAAGUCUUGUGGCAAUAGUUUGUUUUCAUUAUAUUCAUUUAGACUGAUUGAAAGUGAAAAAAGGAGAACAUGAGAUUAGGUUGUCGCUUAGAAGGCAUUGUAUAUUCGAGAUGGAGGCAGGUAUCUGAUUUUAGUUAGCAGGCUAAAGGACCAGAGGAACAGGGUUUAGUUUUCUUAGGUGGCUUCUUUUCUUGUUCCUUCUGCGUUAUGCUGAAAGUACUUCUUUUAUUUAUUUUAUUUAUUCUUUUCAAUUUGCGUAAAGAGCACUUGUUAGCAGGUUCCCCUUCUUGUUCUUUCCCUGCAAAAGCAUUAACUUCAUCUUUCUCUUGCACUCCUACUACGAUGGUGAUUUCAGUGCAACAGCACUUAGGCCUUGGAUGACAACAUAAACUUCCCCACGGUCAAUCUCGAUGUUUUGCUUAUUAAACUACGCCCUUUCAGAAUUAAGUUCCAUCUUAUUAAGGAUGACGCAGCGUAAGACUAUUCUUACGGACAGAAUGACUGGUCCUGUUGGGAUUAUUCUCGGACAGUUCCACUUGGGACUGAAGUCGGUUAUACCUCGAGCUUCUAUGGUGUGUUUAAUAGCAUGAACACUAGCAGAUAGGAGCAUGAGAAUGAGCCUUUUUUUUAUGUCAUCUGUAUUCCGAUCACCCUUACCUAUGUACUACGGUAUCUGCCACUGAAGGUUAUUAUCUCUGUAACAUGAGCCUAGUAUAUUGUUAUCGCGCUUUAAACGAAUGGAGAAGCUGAAACGGUGAAAUGAGGGAAGGAGCUAGAAGUGCAAUCCGAGAGCGUCUUGAUUUGAUUCAUAUAUGGCAGGUUCAAUCCUCGAUAAUUAUGAAUGUAGCAUCUAAAAGAGGCAUUCUUCUAAACAUACUUUAUAGUUGUAGCAUAUUAGCAUCUAAAAGUUGGAUGAGACGGCUUUUUAAAAACUGUUGCAACUUUGAAGGUGCUACAACUGUGAUGUAUUUGUUAAAUACAUUAUAUGCAAUCCACAUUUUCAUAGUUGAAACUGCCACAGGAAAGCCUUUUGAAUUGGGGACUUAAAUUAUUAUUCCCAAACACCAGCAUUAUUUGACCGUCCAAAACUUAUCUACAAUUAAGUUCGAAAUUGCUAGAACUCACUUUUUCGAAACUUCAUUUCUCCCCUCUUGAAAUGCCAUGGGAAAGGGGGAGUGAGUAAUUGCCUGCAUCCAUAUCCAAUAAAUUGCAUUUAUCAUAACCAUUGAUCAUAUGAAUAUUACAUAAGCUUUAUAUGUGAGACUUACAUGUGAUAUUGCUAGUGUAAACACCUAGAGGGGGGUGAAUAGGCGCACAAACUAUUUUUCUCAAAUACGUAUGCAACAGAUUGAAAUACGAUCGAUGUAGAGAGAGUAAGGAAGAGAAAAUCAAACACAGGAUUUAUAGUGGUUCGGCUUAUUCCAAGCCUACGUCCACUCUUCCGCACUGACAGCCCACGGGCUGGAUUUCACUAUGAUCAAAAGAGGAGUUACAGCACAGCUUUGCCUUGAUUCCACAGUGUAGAUGUUCUAUCACACCUCCUCAAGGUCUCUCACAAAUAUAGACUCUCUUUUGUAUACAAGUAUUCGCUCAAGAGAUUUAUCUAAACAAAUAGGAGCUUCAGACUUUGGAAUUUUUCUAUCACGCACUCUCUUUUAAACAACUAAGAACGUCUUCCUUAUAUACUCCUUUAUGCCAUCAUACCCGUUGGCACUUUCCAAAGGAAUUCCUCCAAUCUACCCGUUGGAUGGAAUCAAUUAGGAAGAUCGUUCGAGCUAUUAAAGGAACGAGUUGAUAGCCCAUCAAUCCUGUUCGCCCAUACAAUCAGGAUCUCGGUUUCCAUAAGCGAAACCUUCCAAUAAUAUUUAGACAAUCAUCGAAUCUUCAGUCAUUGAAUCAAUCUUGAUCAAUCAAAGGAUUCUGAUACGUCUUCUCCAGCCACGAGAUCUUCUCCAGAUGAUAAGGUUAAAUCCCAAACAAAACAUCCAGUUCGGGAUAACCUUUCUUCAACAGAUCAGAGACUGUCAAUGAGGAUAGACUUUGAGUCUUGAGUCUGGCUGUCCGGAAGUCUUCAGACNNNNNNNNNNNNNNNNNNNNNNNNNNNNNNNNNNNNNNNNNNNNNNNNNNNNNNNNNNNNNNNNNNNNNNNNNNNNNNNNNNNNNNNNNNNNNNNNNNNNAGACUCGCUAGAGAGACCUAGAAGCGCAAGUCGCUAGUAAAGUCUUCCUUCAGCUGUACAACCUCCUCACUCUUGGCAUUGGCCUGAUUCUGAAUAGAGAAGGGCUUACAUCUUUUCAUUUAAUGAACAGGAAGAAGCUUGACCUUCAUUCUUCAAGCUUUGAACUUCGCAUCCCAAGGCAUAUAUCUGACCUUUCAUCUCCAAGAGAAUAUCCAUGAUUCUGCGAAAAUCUGCUCCAUUAUCAGUCUGAGUACUUGCUUCUGCUCGUUCUGAUGGAGUAAAAGCAGACGAUGGUGGAUCAGCAUAAUCUCGCAGGUUUGGCGAUGAAGCUUCAAGACCUUCCUUUGGAAAUUGAGAUGCAUAAACAUCUUCUAGGUCUGCAGGCGAACGACUGACUCCUUCACUUUCAUCUGGAAAUGAAGAUGUCACUCUUUUCUCCUGAACUCCCCCUGUUUUCAUGCCUACAGGUGGAGAAGAGAUUUCCUCAGGUUCUCCUUCUCUUCCUUCUUCUUCAGGUCUUUCUUGCUCUGCUUCUUGCUCUGUUUCUCUUUCUCCUUCCUCCUUCUCCUUUGCUUCUCUUUCUUCUUCCUCUUUCUCUGCUUCUUUCGUCUUUUGUUCCGAUUCUUUCUGUGGAACAGGACGACUUAAGUUCUUUAAAGCCAUUGCAGAGAUGGUGAUGUCAUCAUCAUCAUCUUCAUCCUCAAUGAGGAGAGCUCUUCUUUUCUUUGAUGGAGCAGCCAUUGGCUCCUUCCCUUUUCUCUUAGCAGCAGAAGAGAGUUGAUGAGACUUGGCAGGAGUCUUCUCCUUGAAUUUCUCCAAUUCCUUGCUCAGUUCCUCUGUCCUUCAUCACCGCUCUAUACAUGUGAAACAUGACAGUAUGAGGGAGAGAAAACUUCUUUCCACAGAGGAUAGCAUACAUCAACUUUGCCUCAGAGCUAGAAACAUCCGUUUUGGAAGUUGAUUUUGGCCGAAGGCAAUUAAUCACAGUCUUGUGAAGCAAAAUGUUGAAUGCAUUCAUCCUUGAGUAGGUGAUCUUCUCUUCUGUUCUCCUGUCCUUCACCAAUUCAAGUGUGGCCCGAGCAAUGGAAACUUUAAUCGGUUGAUAUCUGCCUCUCUCAACUUCUAACACAUCAGCCAGCAUAUCCAUAUCUACAACAUAGUCUUGUUCUUUGACAUUGAAGGAAAAUCUAUUCGCAUCUAAAAAGCUAAGAUUUGAAUAGAAGUAAGCAGUCAAUUCAGCAUAAGCCUCAGUUGAGUCAGAACAGAACUUUUCAAGUUGAAGAUAAUUGAACUUUUCCCUCAAGUUCACUUUCACAGCAUCCAGAAAAUCAAAGUCCACACUCCUAGGGUUUAUUACCCCACGCUUCAGCAAUUUCGAGUACAAGUCCUUUUGUUCCUUUGAUCUGAACAAAUCUCCCCUUUUUCCUUGAAUUUCAGCCGCAAUACCCAUUUUCGGUUGAAAUAAACUGAACAGAUUGUCAUCAUCAUUUCCAUCUACAGGAUUUGGCCCCCAGUCACGAGGAUCACUUGGGAUAUUCGCAAGGGUUUCCUCAGCCACCCCUUUACGAGCGAUUCCCAAACUUUCCAUUCUUUUCAGAAAGAUAUAUUCGUUCCUAUAUCCUUUUUCUUUAACAAAACUAUCAAUAUAGUUCAAAGGAGUACGAAUUCCUUUUAAAGCACGAUAUAACUUGUAGAUAAAAGCAGGCUUUUGAGUUCUUACGGGGUCUGCUUCCUCGAUGAUUUCUUCCUGUUGAACAACGUCUUGAAGACUAGAUGAUGGAGAGUGACGCUGCAGAGAAUGUUGUGGGCUCGGUUGCUGAUCUGGAUAAACUUCAUCUUCAGUAAGAUCGAAGUGCGUAGGCCCCUUACUCAUUCUCUGUGGUCCCCUGCUUGCGAUUCUUGACGAUUUUCGUGAAGAAGACAUCUUUAACAGUGAUUGGAAGAUUCCUCGCUUGACUUUCCCAGAAAAGAUGACAACUUUUUGAAGAUUUAGCGAUGAAGACAAACGGAAGUGGAGGAUCGAUGCUUUCUAGGGUUUUGAGAGUAAAGUGAAUAGACAAGUGAAGAGUAAUCGAUAGUGCUCGUUCGGUUAAAAGGAAGAGUAAACGAAUCGUCACAAAGGAAAUAAAAAUAUGCCUUUUCAAAAUAACUGAUUUUAUCUGUAAAAAUAGUUAUUUCAAAAAUAACUUCCCUUUUGAAAAUGAAUCGAUGUAAUAUAUACGGCAACAAUUUAAACACAGUCUGAUGAUCGUACCUUUUCAAGAUAAGAUUGGAGAGAGAGAAAGACUUAUAGUCUGAAGGUCGAGACAAGACUGUUGAUAAAGUCUUGUAAGCCUGAGUCUGAAGGUCUUUAGACUUUGAUAUCCUCAUACCUCAAAAUAUUGAGUCUGGUCCGUAUAGACUCAAAUUGAUUUUUCUCCAAAGGCUUCGUAAGUAUAUCAGCCAGCUGAUUCUUUGAGUCAACAAAAAGAAUUGAAACAUCUCCAUUUUGAACAUGAUCUCUAAUAAAGUGAUGUCGAAUUUCUAUAUGCUUCGCUCUUGAGUGGAGAAUUGGAUUUUUGGUGAGGUUGAUAGCGCUGGUGUUGUCGCAUUUAAUCUCCGUGCAUGAGUCUUCAAUUGCAAAAUCUCUUAGCUGUUGUUUUAUCCAUAGAAUUUGCGAACAGCAGCUUCCAAGAGCGACAUACUCUGCUUCAGUUGUUGAAAGAGACACAAUACUUUGUUUCCUUGAAAACCAAGACACUGUUCUGUUUCCAAGCAACUGGCAAGUUCCUGAAGUACUCUUUCUAUGAACUCUGCAACCGGCCAGAUCUGCGUCUGAAUAUCCCAGAAGUUUAAAGUCUCCCUUCUUAGAAUACCAAAGACCGAUGCUUGAUGAUGAAGCGACGUAUUUAAUGAUGCGUUUGGCAGCGCUGAGAUGGGAUUCUCUAGGAUCUGAUUGAAACCUAGCACAGAUGCAAACACUCAACAAAAUAUCAGGUCUAGAGGCAGUAAGAUAGAGAAGUGAUCCAAUAAUGCUCCUGUACAGCAUUUGAUCAACUUUCUUCCCUUCUUCAUCUUUGUCUAUCUUUAAGGAACUUGACAUUGGUAUGUCGGUCUUUUUGCAAUUCUCCAGUCCAAACCUUUUGACAAGAUCAUUAACAUAUUUUUCUUGAAAAAUGAAAGUUCCUUCCUUCAAUUGUUUUAUUUGAAGACCAAGAAAGAAUGUUAAUUCUCCCAUCAUACUCAUUUCAAACUCAUCCUGCAUAGACUUUGAAAAUUUCUUGCACAGACUUUCAUUAGAGGAUCCAAAAAUAAUAUCAUCCACAUAUAUUUGAACAAGUAAGAAACUUUUAUUUUCCUUCUUGAUAAAUAAAGUCGUAUCUACUUUACCUUUAACAAAACCAUUUUGUAAUAGGAAAUUACUUAACCUGUCAUACCAAGCCCGAGGUGCUUGCUUUAAACCAUACAAAGCCUUUUUCAGUCUGAAGACUGAGUCUGGCUUCUUUGGGUCUUCAAACCCUGGCGGUUGUUCCACAUAAACUUCCUCAUGGAUAAAUCCAUUUAGGAAGGCGCUUUUGACAUCCAUUUGGAAUAACCUGAAAUUCUUAUAACAAGCAAACGCGAGUAAUAGUCGAAUAGCUUCUAACCUUGCCACUGGAGCGUAAGUCUCAUCAUAGUCUAUUCCUUCUUCUUGCGUAUAUCCCUUGGCCACGAGUCUUGCUUUAUUUCGUACGACUUUCCCUUUCUCGUUCAUCUUGUUUCUGAACACCCAUUUGGCUCCAAUAACAGUUUUUCCUUUUGGUUGGGAUGUCAAUUCCCAAACAUCAUUUAUGCUGAACUGUCCGAGUUCUUCUUGCAUAGCUUCAAUCCAGCUUUCAUCAGACAAAGCUUCUUCUAUGCUCUUUGGUUCAAUUUCAGAAACGAGUGCCACAGCACUAGACUCUUCUCGCCUUUUGGAUCUUGUGCGAAUUCCUUCAUUAAUUUCGCCAAUUAUAAGAUAUUUGGGAUGACUGGACUUAUGCUUCCAGUUACUCGUUGAUUUGUCUGGUAGAUGAUCUCUUUCUUUAUUUGGAUCUUCACUAUCAACCUGAUGCUGGUUUUCCAGAGUCUGAGAUGCUUCUUGAGUUGUAGACUUUGGAGGGUCUGGAGCAGGUUCAGACUCUUCUUGAUGAGUCUGUCUUGAUUAAUCUUGCAUUGAGUCUUGAAAUUUAACAUUCAUUGACUCCUCUACAGACUGGCUCUUCUUGUUAUAGACUCUAUAAGCUUUGCUUGAUGUAGAAUAUCCAAGGAAGAUACCUUCAUCUGAUCUUUCUUCAAACUUACCAACUCGAUCUUUUGCAUUUUUCAAUAUAAAACAUUUGCAACCAAAUACAUGAAAGUAUGAAACAAUAGGCUUCUUUUCUUUGAAUAACUCAUAAGGGGUUUUCUGAAGAAUAGAUCUUAAGAAGACUAUUGAUGAUAUAGCAAGCUGUUGAAACAGCUUCAGCCCAAAAUCGAGAAGAAAUUUUACUUUCUUUCCACAACUCCAUUUUGCUGAGGAAUAUAUGGAGAGGAAAACACAUGCUUACAGCCAGAUUCAUCACAGAAUUUUGUAAAAUCUUGAUUUUCAAAUUCACCUCAAUGAUCUGUUUUUAUACAAGAGAUUACACAUCCCUUUUCAUUUUGAACCUUUUUAGCAAAUUUUUCAAAAUACGGAAAGGUUUCGGACUUACUUGAAAGGAAAUAUACCCAAGUAAAACGGGAGUAAUCAUCAACAAUUACUAGGCAAUACUUCUUACCCCCAAUACUCUGAGUUCUGGUUGGUCCGAAGAGAUCCAUAUGCAGCAACUGUAGAACAUGAUUAGUAGAGACAUGAUUUAUUGGCUUAAAAGAAUUUCUUACCUGCUUUCCUAGAAUACAUGGAGUACAUGAAUCAGUCUUUUGGUAUGGCAAUUUUGGUAGACCUCGAACAAGCUGCUUUGAUGAGAUUUUGGCUAAUUGCUUCAUAUUGACAUGUCCAAGCUUUUUGUGCCAUAAGCUUGCUUCGUCUUGAAUUGAGAUAAGACAUUGUGAUUCAUUUGGUUUCACAUCCAGAAGAUAAAUAUUUCCAUGUCUUCUACCCAAAAAAGAUUGAGUAGAGUCUUUACUGAUUCCAGAACAUGUUCCUUCUUGAAAAAAGAUCUUGAAACCAGUAUCACACAAUUGACUAAUGCUGAGAAGAUUGUAAUUGAGUCCUUCCACUAAGGAAACAUUACUUAUUGUGAGAGUUCCAAUUUUCACUGUUCCAAAUCCCACAAUACUUCCUUUGCUGUUUCCUCCAAAUGAAACUUUUCCACCAUUUACUUGAGCAAGUUUUAUAAAGCAAUUUGAGUCUCCUGUCAUGUGUCUUGAGCAACCGCUGUCAAGAUACCACUUUACCUGUUUCUUGAUGGAGACCUGCAUUUAACAAAGAGUCUCAAGCUUUCUUUGGUACCCAAAUUUUCUUGGGUCCUUUGGUGUUAGUAAGAUAAACAGUAUUAGCCCAUACUUUCUUAAUAGGUUUCCAUACCAUAGGACACUCUUUUUCAAAGUGAUCCGGACUGUUGCACUUUGAACAUUUAAGAGAAUUUCUUCCUACGGGUUUAACAAAUACUUUCUUGAAGUGAUUUUUGUAAACCUCACUUGAAAGCCUUUUCUUGAUUCUUUCUUUUACUUUAGGAAAAUCAAUUAAGGGAAUUGUUUCUUCUGUCAUACCUAGACCAGAUUUAUUGAAGUAAGGUCUUUGUGCUGAAAGAAUUUUCUCAAGUUUUUCAAAUCCCAUAGAAAAUUUCUUUGAUAUAUUAGAUAAGUCUGUUUUUAAAAAAGUAUUUUCUUUUAAAAGAUUUUCUUCAUUUUCUUUAAGAUUGGAAACAGACACGUCUAGACUUUUAACUCUUUCUUCUAAAACAUUUUCUUUUAGCUUUAGAGCUGAGUUUUCCUUUUUUAGUUUGGAAAUUCUUUUGAGAGAAGUCUUAAGACUAAAGCAUAAUUCCUCAAUAUAUUUAGAAACUUUGACAGGAAUUUUAAAGUUACUUACCUCAAAUUCACUGUCUGAGUCUGAUCCUGAGUCUGUUCCAGAGUCUGAGUCUGAUUGUGCCAUCAGACAUAGAUUGGCGUAUUCAUUAUCACUUUCUUCACACUCAGUAUCACUCCAGGUUUCAGCUUUGAGAGCUUUUCGAAAUUUUUCAGCUUUUCCUUUCUUUUUCUUCAAAAGAGGACAGUUGGGUCUGAUAUGUCCCUUUUUCUUGCAUUCAAAGCAGACUACAUCUUUGUUUGGUUCCUCAUCAUCAACAGACUUGGUCUGCUGUCUUUGAAAGCCUUGUUUUUUUGAGUUGAACCUUCUUCCUUUUCUGUUUAGUUUUCUGAAUCUUCUUAUCAUGAGAGCAAGCUCCUCAUCGUCCAUAUCUUCUUCAGAAUCUGUAACAUCAGAAUCAUCAUUUGAUUUUAAUGCAAUAGAUUUCUUACCUCUUGGAUCUUCAUCUUCAUUGAUCCUUUCCACUUCAUAGGACUGAAGAGUUCCAAUAAGCUCAUCGACAGAUAGUGGCAUAAUUCUCUGCGUCUCUCUUAUCGAAGUCUUUAUGUGAUUCCAAUCCUUGGAGAGUCCACGCAGUAGCUUGUUUACCUUCAUGGGAUCAGAAGUUGGUUGACCUUUAUUUUCAAGACCAUUCACAAUAUCUGUAAAACGACUAAACAUGUCAGAUAUUGAUUCUCCUGGUUUCAUUCUGAAGGCUUCGUAUUGACCGAGAAGAAUGUUGAUUCUUGUUUCCUUCACUCGAUCUGUUCCUUCAUAGGUGAUAUGCAAUCUGUCCCAAACUUCUUUUGCUGUACCACAAGAAGAUAUUCUAUUAUAUUCAGUUGGUGAUAAAGCACAAUAUAAGGAAUAAAUUGCUUUUGCAUCGAGUGUCUGUCUCUUGGUUAUUUCUUCUUGAGACAUUCCGCUGGAUUCUUCAGUUUCUUUUCCUCUUUCAGAGACUGAUGCAGUGGUAGGAGUAAUUCCUUUUUUUACAACGUCCCAUUCCAGAGGAUCCUUUGAUCGUAGGAAAGCUUUCAUCUUGUUCUUCCAGAUGUUGUAAUCCUUUCCAUCAAAGUAAGGUGGUCUGGUAUUGCUUUGCCCUUCCAUCAGCCCUGGUGAAGUAAAACACUUCAAAUAAAGUAAGUACACAGGCUCUGAUACCAAUUGAUAUUGCUAGUGUAAACACCUAGAGGGGGUGAAUAGGCGCACAAACUAUUUUUCUCAAAUACGUAUGCAACAGAUUGAAAUACGAUCGAUGUAGAGAGAGUAAGGAAGAGAAAAUCAAACACAGGAUUUAUAGUGGUUCGGCUUUUUCCAAGCCUACGUCCACUCUUCCGCACUGACAGCCCACGGGCUGGAUUUCACUAUGAUCAAAAGAGGAGUUACAGCACAGCUUUGCCUUGAUUCCACAGUGUAGAUGUUCUAUCACACCUCCUCAAGGUCUCUCACAAAUAUAGACUCUCUUUUGUAUAUAAGUAUUCGCUCAAGAGAUUUAUCUAAACAAAUAGGAGCUUCAGACUUUGGAAUUUUUCUAUCACGCACUCUCUCUUAAACAACUAAGAACGUCUUCCUUAUAUACUCCUUUAUGCCAUCAUACCCGUUGGCACUUUCCAAAGGAAUUCCUCCAAUCUACCCGUUGGACGGAAUCAAUUAGGAAGAUCGUUCGAGCUAUUAAAGGAACGAGUUGAUAGCCCAUCAAUCCUGUUCGCCCAUACAAUCAGGAUCUCGGUUUCCAUAAGCGAAACCUUCCAAUAAUAUUUAGACAAUCAUCGAAUCUUCAGUCAUUGAAUCAAUCUUGAUCAAUCAAAGGAUUCUGAUACGUCUUCUCCAGCCACGAGAUCUUCUCCAGAUGAUAAGGUUAAAUCCCAAACAAAACAUCCAGUUCGGGAUAACCUUUCUUCAACAGAUCAGAGACUGUCAAUGAGGAUAGACUUUGAGUCUUGAGUCUGGCAGUCUGGAAGUCUUCAGACUUUAAUUGGCAGAGUCUGCAGACCUUCAUACUAGACUGACGGAAACAUUUUGUCAACUUCAAAACUCUUCACGAGGAUUUCUCCAACAACAUGAUCCAAUUAAUUUUUUUUAAACUUUAUCCCAUCUCUACAAUGCUAGGUUUCCAAGAAAUUAUGGGAUCAUAAUUAAAGGAUUGUGCUCCAUCAUUAGUGAAAAAAAAAAUCUCUCUUUUUACGAAGAAGACAUGAUAAGGGUUUGUAUUCUUGCUCCAUAAGUAAUUGAGUGCCUGAUCUUUUGUAAUCAAAUAUUAAAUUCUUGAAUUUCGUUUAAUGUGGUGCCUCCACUUUUAUUGCCGGGUCAUGUUUUUUUUCCCUGACAUGCUUAUUUAACAUAAUUGCUGACAUGGCAGCAUACACAACGAAAAUCAUACAAACUCAAUUUAAAACAAAGGAAAGAUAUUCCUUUUCUUUUUUCCUUUUCCAUUUCUUUCUUUUUACUCCCUCUUCCUUCCUCGGUAUGCCUCUGGCCCUCGUCGCCUUCUCCACCAUCAAUUUCCAUACCUGCCGCUUGCCACCACCAUCAAUUUCCAAUGUUCUUGAAUCUUGACAUUGUUGCGGACCGUCACGUCCCGUUGAAGAAAAAAGGGAAAAAAGAUUGACAAGUUGCUUGGCCUGUCACAUGUGAGAAACUUACAAACAGGUUUUGAAAAGUAUACUAUAAAAAUUACCAACUACAUUAAUAAUCAACCAACAUUUAUUUUGAUGGAUUAUCAAUGUGUUAAAUUGCUUAAUUUUAUUCAAAAUUGUGAACCUAAUUUGACUGAUUUAUCCAAAUCAGUACAUUAAUGCUUGGGCAUGUCUAUGUGUAAAUUUUUUCACAUUAUUUAGAAGCAUGCACUUGAGCGAAGGGAAUAAUAAUUUUUGCAUCCUAAACAUGAUUGUCCUCCUUUGGUCCCUGAAGUGAUAUUUCCCACGAUCCAAAUCUACAGCAAAUUGGAUCACAUUUUUAAUGCAUCACUUGACCGAUCUCAUCUCAUAACUAGAAGAAAUAAAUUUUGAAAUAUGAAAUCAUGGAUCAAUAAACCGAGACCUCAGUUAAUUUUGGUACAUCUUACAUGAGACCCACAUGAUCUAACAGUCGUGAUGCAUUGAACUAACUUGAAGCCAAUGACUCUAAUGAUUUAUUGAACUUGUUUUAAUUAAAAUAAAUUAAAUAACCACAGGUUGAAGAGAAUCCAGCAUGUGAAAGUGAGUAGUGUGUGUCUACCAGAAGAAUCUAUCCUGCACGAGAAGAAAGAUCUAUCUCUUGUGAUGUCCAGUGACUGCCUUUCAAUUGUGAAGUGCAUUAUGGGAUGAGAAGAAAGCCCAUGAGAUAUUGGGGACAUGACUGCCAGGCCUUGCCAGCUCAAUUGGAUAAGGUGGAAGUUGUCUGUUGUCCUACAAGGCUAAUCAAUUUACGGAUUGGUUCACUAGUACCCAUUGAAAUAGAAGUCUCCCUAACGAUUGAUGAUCCUUACCCUCUCGGCCCAUUUGAAAUAUUUUGUAUAUAGAAACUUAUUUCUCUUCCUUCAGUAGAGCCUUUAUGAUUGAAGGAAUGAAUGUGCUUUCCGACAAAAAAAAGAAAACCAAAAGACAUAACAAAAGCGAUUUUUCAUGAGAUAACUUUUUUAUCGAAAAAUUGAAUAAAUAGUUCCCUACCCAACUACACCAGUGUUUACAAUUGUAAAUAAUUUUAAUCACUUAUUUUAUUUUUGGAGUGGCGCAUCGUGAUUCCAUCGGCUGAAGUAAUGUAUCAUUAUUUUGAAAACCAAUAAAUGAUUAGUCUGUUGGGUUGGAAUGGGAAGAAAAUAGUCCACUCUAGUUGAAAGAAAACGCGAAUGCAAUAUAUCUUUGACCGGAAGCCAAGUUAAAGAAGUCUCAAAAUGCUUACCACGAUACAAAUUGCAAUUAUAGGUGUGACCCCCCUAGAUUCGGAGCUCAUUAUGGGCUUCGCACAUAUAGGCCCCAUUGAUCUUUCUUUAAUCUAGAUAAAUUACUAAGGGUGCGUUUGUUUGUGUUUCUGUUUAAAAAUUGUUUUAGGGAACAGAAAUAGAAAAAAGUGUUUCUGUUCCGGGGAACAAUUUUUGAACAAAACAACGCGUUUGGUAAACUUGUUCCGGGAAUAAAAAAUAAAUAGAAACAUGUUUGGUAAAUUUGGAUAAUUUUUUUAUUUCUUUUAUUUUUUCUAUUUUUUUUCUUUUUUUUCCUUUUUUUCUUUUUCAUUUUUUUUUUCUUCUUUUGGCCGGUCGCUGGCCAAGGCCUUGGCCGGCGACCGGCCGGCGAGGGUCGGCCUCGCCUUGAUCUGGCGAGGCCGAGCUCGCCCAGCGGCGGGCGAGGCACGGCCUCGCCGGGCCACCGCCAGGCGACGCCGACUCGCCCAGAUCCGGCGAGGCCGAGGCUCGCCGUAGCUGGGUGAGGCCGCCGGCCCUCGUCGGCCGGUCGCCGGCCAUGGCCGAGGCCGACGACCGGCCAAAAGAAAAAAGAACAAGAAAAUAAGAGAAAAAAGAAAAAAAAAAUAAGUGUUUCUCAAAAGUGUUUCAGAAACAAGAAACACAAAAUUUGUGUUUCUUGUUUAUGUUUCUUUUUUGUUCGUGGGAACAAAAGAACAAAAAAACAGAAAAAGUGUUUAAAAACAAAAAAAAAGAAAUACAACCAAACGCAGCCUAACUCAUUUAUAUAUAUUUCAGGAUGAUGAGGAAAUCUACCGAUUUCCAUUUUUCCAUUGAAAUAAAAAAUUUGGUUCAUUCACUUUAAAUAUUUUGCCUUCUAGGCCAGUAAAAGUUCAGGACCUCAUCAAUUUCAACAUUUUUUGCUACACUUUUUAAUCCUGAAAAGACUGAACCAAUAUUUGUAGUUUGUCUAGAUAUUUUAAAUGACUAACAGAACUUUUCUUUGCCUAGAUUACAUCCAGGAUUUCAAUUUUUUUAUUUUUCUCUCUGGGAGGGAAUGAUCCAUCAAGCAAGCCCUCCGAUUAUUAAAAGCACCGUUAGGAAAAAAAGGAAAAAUACACUCUACUAUGCCAGAAAGUCGAAUUGCAUAGUGAGGAUAUCUGUUGAAUUGAUGUUUGUUUUCCCCUUGGGCUGUUGAAAGAUUGGACUGGGAGUCGGGGUUCUACUUCAACACGAGGGACUUCGAGGAUUCGGCACCGAACGGAGAGUGGGACGAUGUGGAAAAGUAUCUAUCUGGGUUCACGAAAGUAGACAAUAAUAGAUACUCCAUGAAGAUUUUCUUCAAGACUCAGAGCAGAAGUAUCUCGAAGCUCUGGACAAGUAGAUCGAAAGUUUUUGGACAAUUGAUGGGUUCGACUUGUUUAGGGCUGUGUUAGCUCACUGGGCAACAAGCAUUUUAAUUUUCUUGGUUGUUGGUCUUGCAUUAUUGAUGAUUGCAGGAGGGAUCGUGCUAAAGCUGUGGAAAUUUUAGUCAAGGACUUGAAAGUAUUUGCUGCAUUCAAUGACGAUUUGUUAAAGGCGCAGUUACUGACGCUGGAGAACUUUAGGUACGAGGUCUUGCGUUGAAGAAUCUUUUAAUUUGUUGCUGACAGUUUUUCUCUAGUUGACCUUUUGUCUUUUGCUAUCAUCACAUUGGCAUUAAACGUAUAUCCUGCUUGCAGAGAGAAUGAGCAACUAUCAAAGUAUGGUGAUACCAAGUCAGCUCUGAGUAUAAUGUUGGCUGAACUGAAGAAGUUGAUAGAGGCUAACCCCCCGGUUCGUGGUAAGCUUCAGUUUCCCACAUUGAAGAACUCAAGAUUAUGCGCGCAUUAAUAAAUCAAAGGUGGUGGGUCCUCUGCUAGUAUCACUCCAGGGUUUAUUUGGCGGCUAUGUACCGCUGCAAGGCGACGAACGGCUGACAGGGUUCCCUGGGUAUCAAAAAAAAAAAAAAAAAAUCAAAGGUCCUUGCUGUCCUAUUGCCGUAUGUAUUUUCUUGACUAAAGUAUCGUCAUACCGACUGUUUCAUGGCUUCUGGAAGUUUCAAUUGGCAGCAUCAACUAUGCAAGAAACCUAGGCCUAACCUUGACACGAAGACUAUUUGUAGACUGCACUUGUGGACAACCAAAUGGUGCUCGGGUGCCAUCCCCUCUUGCUAAUCCUUUGAUGGGUGCCGUCCCCAAACCAGGGGCCUUCCUACCAUUGACCGCUCUUGGUGUAAGUCUGGAGGAGAAUAGUUAGUCUAUUUCCUCGGUUAUUUUUCCAUAUAGAUGUUGGCAACUCACGUUAGUGUGUUUUUUAUUUUUAUUUUUGGUGCAUUCCAGAACCUUUAUUACAGCCCUCCCAGCCUCCUCUGGCCGCUCUUCCAACAUCUCUUGCUGGAUGGAUGGCAAAUCCAUCCUCGGUUGCUCGCCCCUCAGCAUCUGCUGGACCAAUACGUUUGACUGCGCAAAAUAAUUCAGGUACAUGAAGCUGCUCUACAAUGUCAAUUUCAAGUUCAUGGCUACCAAGGCCACAUAUCUAGGUUUAUGAGAAGUUGCAAUAUUGGUAUUUUGUCGGAACAUAUAACAUAUUAUUUAGGAUAAUGUGAUGCUUUAUUAUAUGCAGACUAGUGAAAUUUCAUCUUGUAGUUUCCACAAGUUCAAGCUGUUAAUUUGACAUUCUAUUUACUUUUUGCAUUGUGAUAUAGCUAUUUUAAAGCGUCCCAAGACUCCUCCUACUAACAACUCAGUCAUGGACUACCGAAGAGCAUGUAAAAUGUUUUUGGUUUUUUCUUUUCUUUAAUUUUUUAGCUGCAUGAUGCUUGCUAGCCCUCUAUCCAAAAACAAGAAAGAAAAUAAAAUAAAAUAAAAACUAAAAAAAUUUAAAAAAAAAAAUUUUAAAAAUUUAAAAAUAUUUAAAAAGUUCAUAUAAGCACCGGUCAUGCCAUGUAUGAUGACCAAUGUCUACAUUAGUAAUUUAAUUUCAAGUCUAAAUUUGUCGGAUGAACUCAAUUUGCAAAAUGUGAAAAUGUUUAGGAUUAAAUUAGCAUAAUUGAAAAGUUUAUGACUGAUAUUGACAUAAGUGUAAAAUGUUUAAGAUUUUUUCGAUAAUUUUCCCCCAUAUUAACAGGUCUCCUUUUUUGUUAGAUUCUACUAAGGAACAAAGAAGCAGUUGCUAAUGGUGGCUGAUGAUACAAUAGUAAAAAACCAAAAUAAUUGGUCAAAGUCAUGAUAUUGUAAUGUCGUUGGUUCAUAAUAUUUUAUCACUAAUGACAAACACCUAUAGAUGAACAAGUAAUAAUCUUUAUCAAGAAGUUAGAGAAAAAAAGAGUGUUAACAUGAAAUAAGAGGUUCGACAAAAUAAAAUAAAAAGGAAAAAAGUAAUGCUGGAUAGUUAUUCAAUCGCAGAUAACCCGUUAGCUGAGAAAUUCUAAACGUGACAUCGAAAGUAUAACAUUAAUGUAAAAUGUCAAAAACAAAAACUAUUUAAGGAGUGCGAGAAAAGUGAUUGGGGAUGAGGAGGUGAUAACUAGAUAAUCUUUAGGCAUGAUAUGGCAGGAAAAGAUCUAGUUUGAGAAUCAAGGAAAAUUUAUUAUGGGAAGGAGUCUUUUUUGUGCUUUGAAAAUAAUAAUCCAACGAGUGAUUUUUUUGUGACUGGCUCUUGUAUAUUAGCACCAGGAGCAUUUGCCAGACAGCUUUCUUUUUAAUUUCUCUUAUUAGUGGAAAAGCAAGUCAAGUCAAGAAGCACCUAUGUAGGAUGGUUUCACGCACCUUCUGCAUAAUGCUGUCGAAAUUACAGGGGCAAGGAUUAUCCAUUGGUAUUCUUUUCUAUUUCUCUUAUUAAUAGAAAAAGGCAAGUCUAAGUGAUCAUAUUGCCGUUUAGUUAGUUCGUAAUAUCCAAUCAAUAAUUAAACAACUUUAACGAGUUUUGUCGUCAGUUUUCUUUUUUGUUUCUUUUAUUAAUAAAAAAACAAGUCAAAUCAAGCAUGCUGGAUCUCAAAGUUCAAUUAAAACUUCACAUGCACUUGCUAAAAGUUUCACAUCUAUGGAAAUCAUUGUUCACGUGUUAGCACAAGAGGUUUGAACAAAGAUGGUAUGGUAUUAACAUGUAUUCCCAAAUAUGAACUCACGAUUCCACCUACUCAAAUGGGGCCAACAAUAAUGCCUUGUAAAUUUGUGAAAAGGAAAAAGAAGGGUCAAUCAGAAUUAUCUCAUUUACGUAAUGAGAUCAAUUUAACACAAGGCCGUAACUCAAUUAGCUGUUCUAUUGUGCAAAUCCAAAUUUGCUCAAGCAAGGAAAAAAAACUGUCAUAUAUUCACUAUGAAUCGACUUUUAAUUGCCUCGAUAAUUCAAUAUCAAUGUACUAUAAGUUCUCUAGAUUUUUAAUAUACUGAAUAAGCUAAUAUGCUUGUAGCUCCAUUCAAAUUGGGAUAUAGAGUUUCCUCCAAUUUUCAUCUCUGAUAAAAUGUCCGCAUCUAAUCUUCAAUUGGCAUUAAACAACACUAACGAGGUGGCUCUAAGCAUGAAUUUGAUGCCCGUCUUAUGAUUUGAUGAUAAAAUAUGUAUCUUCUUCCCAACUAUAUGCUAAUGCUCAUAUCAUCAUCAUUGGACGCUAUCGCAAUCUGCUUGUUAUUAAAUUAGUUGGUGGAGAAUACGCACUUUCUGCAUAAUGCAGCGGAAAUUGGGCGUCAAUAAUCAUCCUCUCCAUGCAGCAUGUGUCUUGGGCCGUUGGACGGCGCAUUAUGGGCUUUGAACAUAAAGGCAGAUCAAUUUUUUCAAUACUUGAACAUUUUCAAUCUAAACAAGUGACAACCCCAUUCACAUAUAAUUCCGGAUGAAGAGGAAACCCUACCUAUGUUGAACAAAUUUUCAAUAUUCAUUUUAAUAAUGGAAGUUUGGUUCAUUCACUCUAUAUAUUUUGCCUUCAAUGCAAGUAAAAGUCUAGAACCUCACUAAUUCCAUCCUUUGUUGUUAGAGGUCUCGAUCCUCCAAAAAACUUUGGACUAAUGUUUAUCUGUACAUGAAUUUUUUGCCCCAAAGGAAUUUAUCCAUCAAGAAAGCCCACAAAUUAUUGAAUGCACCAUUAUGCAAAAAGAAAAGGAAAAAAAAAAGAAUAUAUUUUACAAUACGAAAAAGUUGCAUUCAUAUUCUUCCCUGAAUUAUAUAUAUUAUCUUUGCUGUCUAAUCUUUGCUAUAUGCGUAUACUUGUUUAUUUCUGGUCCAGCCUGAGGAUCUUAAACAAAGGCCGUGGUUAUUGGAGCCCCUGUUCCACGUAGAUAAAACAGAAGGGUUAACCGCGGAGGGAAUUUGUAACCCAAUUUGGUAAACACCUCCCCUGCCUGAUCCUAGCUCUGCUGCACUGGCCUCUCGAUGACUGCCAGUCCAGUAUCUUAGAAAUGAUGGCAGCUAGUACAAAUUCUUCCACAGGGAAACACGUAACAAGUAAACUGUGGGGCCUCAAUGUCCAUCAUAUUAUCACAUCUCUCUGUUUUUUUUUUUUAGAUAAAAAUUAUUUAAGGAGUGAGAUAAAAAUGACUCAGGGGAGGAGAGGGUGACUAGAUAAUUUUUAGAUGUGAUAUGGUAUGGAGAAAUUUUGAGAAUCGAGAGAGAUUUAUUUCGGUAUUUUCUUUUCCAUAUUUCUUAUUAAUAGAAAAGGCAAGUCUAAAUCAUCAUGUUAUCGUUUUGUUGGUUUGUAAUAUCUAAUCACUAAAUUACAGACAACUUUAACGAGUACCAGUCGUUCUCGUUUCUAUUUUCUUUUAUUAAUAGAAAAGCGAGUCAAGUUAGGCAAGUUGAAUCUCAAAUUUCCAUCAACGCUUCACCACUAGAAGUUUCACAUCUAUGGAUUUCAUCAUUCACAUGUUAUUGUAGGAAAGCAAGUCAAGUUAGGCAGUGUGAAUCUCAAAUUUCAAUCAACGCUUCAUUGCUAGAAGUUUCACAUUUAUGGAUUUCACCGUUCACAUGUUAUCGCAGGAUACUAAUUAGGAAGUUUGGUUUAUUUAAGGUUUGUUCAGAAAUAGUAUGGCCUUAACAUGUAUUCCCAGAUAUGAGCUUGCAGUUCCACCUACAAAGGAGGGGGAGUACGUGGAGGAAAAAGAAUGAUUGAAUAUAAUCAUUUCAUUUACGUAACGAGAUGGAUUUAGUAUAAUACUUCAACUAAAUCAAUUAUUGAUUGUGCAAAUACAAUCGUCAUAAUUGUCCAACUUGGCCAAGCAAGGACUAACAGACCUUCCCUUAUGAUAAUCCAAUAUCCAUAUAUUGUAGAUUCUCCGGACUUGUUAAUAUAGUAUAUUUGCUAAUAUACUCGGGAUAUAGAGUCUCACCCAAUUCUAGUGUCUGGUAAAUUAUCUACAUCAGAUCUUUGAUUGAUCUUAAAUGACGUGUAACAAUGUGACUCUAGGCAUGAAUUUGGUGGUACGCCUCUGAUUUUCUUAUAAAAAUAGGGCACUUCUUCAAAAUUAUAUGUCAACAUGCAUGCGAUGAUUGUUAGGCGCUAACAUGGGAGAGUAAGGGACUUUUGUGAUAUUAAGUCGGAUUUGACAUCGAUCCUGCACAUCAAUCCUGCAAAGAGAGAAAAAAGUGGUUCUUGCAAUUUGCUUUUUCAUAUUGAAUUAGUUGGUGGGGAAUAUGCUUAUCUACUCGAAGCAUCGGAAUUGAUGUUCGUUUUUGCUUCUAUUUUUUUAUUAAUAAAAAAAGCAAGUCAAGUCAAAAAGCAUGCGCACCUUUCGCAUAAUGGUGCGGAAAUUACGCAUACAAUAAUUACUCUUUCUGCGUUGCAUGCGUCUUGGAUCGUUAGAUGACAACUUAGCAUUGUGUGCUUUUUUGGAGGAAUCUCUUUUGAAAGAGAGAAAAAAAGGGAGGCUCUGGAUUGAAAAUAAUAAACGUUCCUUAUCCGAAUAUUUAAAAAAAGUGUUCUAUUGACAUUUGUGUCAUGAUAUGUUUUUGAGAUUGACUCAUGUCUAUUAGCACUAGGAUCACGGGAGUCUUGCCGGUUAGUUUUCUUUUCCUUUUCUUUUAUAUAUAGACAAAAAAGCAAGUCUAAGUCAAGAAGCACUUGCAUAGGAUGGUUCUACGGGUGCGUUUGGAUGGGCAUUUAGAAAGCCCAUCCAAGCCCCAAAGCCCUUUCACCCCAAAUUUGGGUGUUUGGCAAAGAUUCCCAAGGGGCUUUCAAGUGAAAGUUUACCCUUGGGAAUGCUGAAGGCUUUAAUGAAAAUAUUGAAGUUCCCUAUUCUACCCUCAAAACUUUCUUGAAAACCCACCGUUGCCCCUGCAUUUAUUUAAUUUUUAAAUGAAAAAGGAGCAGCCCUUCGCCGGACCGGCGAAGGGUUUAGCUAAGUUUUCAAAAAAAAGAAAAAAGAAAAAUAUAUAUAUACAAUACCCAUCAAAGCCCCUUGUGAAAGUUUUUUUUACCAAACGCACAUUCAACUCAAAGUCCAUUUGCAAAUUUUUUUUACCAAAAACAAUUGCAUUUUCCCCAAGUAGCUUUGGGCUUUCAGCAUUUGCAUUGGACUCAAAGUCCAUUGCAAAUGCUAAACCAAACGCAACCUACGCACCUUCUACAAAAUGCUGCGGAAAUUACGCAUACAAUGAUUGCCCUUUGGUUUUCUUUUCUAUAUCUUUAUUGAGAAAAAAAAAAGGUGAGUCAAGUCAAUAUCGUGCUUACUUUAAAUAAAAAAAUCUCAUGCACAGUUCUACGUUGCCUGGCAUUGUUCAAGCACGCACAGUAAAGAGCGUUGCGUAUUGAACAUCGAAGGUUGAGAAUUGGUGGAGAUCACAGAGGUGGGCGAACAUAUAUAUAUUUCCUCUACACAAUAUAAAUGACUAAUAAAUUUCUUUUUCCCAUCCCGAUUACAUCAGUAUUCUGAAGUAUUGCAAUCUUUGUGUGCGAUAAAAUAUAUUUUACAGUUGUAACACCUGAAACUAUUGUAACUUUAGAGGUAUUGUGACUGUGAAAUUCACUAAAACACAUUAUAAAAGUUGCAAUACACGUUUUCAUCAUUAUGGACUUUGCACAAAUAUUCACUGAUAAUCAUAUUAUAUCUUAGGAUGGAGAGGAAACCCUAGCAAGGUGGACAAAUUUCGAUUAUUUGGAAUGUUGGUUCAUUCACUCUAAAUAUUUUGCCUUUCAAGCCAAUAAAAGUUUAGGACCUCACUAAUUUCAUCGUUUGCAGCUACACUUCUUGAUCCUCGAUAAACUUUGAGCAUCCAUAUAUCUUUUCUCUAGAUGACAUAAACAAUUUAGAAAGUUUCUUUUUCCCUGCUUACAUCCUAGGUUCCAAUUUUUUUUUUCAAGGACGGUUUUAUACAUUGAUCACAUGCACUAAUUAGUAAAAGCACCAUUAGGAGAAAAAAAUAAACUUUAUAAUGUAAAAGAAAUUGCAUUUCAUGUUCUUCCCUAAACUUUAUUUUGCUUUCUUUUUGCUAUUUGAUAUUUAUUAUAUGCAUAUACUUGCUUAUUUCUUCCAAAAUGAAAUAGUAAUAGGUAAAUUGUUAUACUUGUGAACUACAAUAUCCACUACUUUAUCACUUUUUUAUUUCCAUUUGUAUUUGAGGUAGUACAUUAAAGAUGCUAACAAAAUAGAUUCUAAAUAGGAAACCAAAAAAAAAAAAAUGAAACAAUUGGUUAUGAUGCAAUAUUAUAUAGCAAAAUAAUUGGUCUAGGUCAUGAUAGUGCAGUAUAUUUGGUUCAUAAUAUCCAAUCAGUAAUUAUAAAUAACUAUAACGAGUAUGAGUCUUUCUUUUCCAUUUAUUUCAUAAAUAUGAGGAGGAAAAUAUAUUUAUUGGAUCAAGAAUAUUAAGAGAGAGAACAGCUCUUACAUUGCCAACAAAGCAACGUGGCUAAAAAGUUGCACAAUACCUUAAGAUUGCUUCAUUUGCAGGACCUUCUUUAUUAAAGAAAUGUACACGUACUAAUGGCUAAGAUAUUAAGUAUAAUACUCAAAUAUAACCUUGUUUAAGUGAUUAUGACGACAAAGACAGUGACAAAUAUACUCUAUCCAAUAAAUAAAUGACCAAUAAAAAAAAGACAAAACCUAGCUUGCCCUCGAGUGUUGUCGGAAUAUUCUUGCAUGUAAUGUCGAUGAAGCCACAAGAGACGAAGGAAAACGAAAGCCCCAUGCGUGCUCCACUACCAGUUAAAAAAUAGUUCCAAAGCCCCGAUAUUAUAAUCAAGUCGUGCUGGAUCUCACAUUUCAAUGAAAGCACAUGCAUAGGAUCCCCGCACCUUCCGCGUAAUGCCCCGGAAAUUAGUUAUUAUCAAUGAACAAUAUUUUCUUUAUUUUUAAGUACUUUCUUUUUUUGGUCAAAACAUUUUAAGUACUUAAAAUGGUCCAAAUUUGAAAUUCAACACUCAAAAUUUUCUGUAAUUGUUUUAUAGAUUUAUCUGAAUGGGCACGUACUCGCAGCUUAUAUUUUCAUAAAUGAAUUAAAGUUUAACCUUGAAAAAAACAAGUUGAGUCAAGCUGAAAGUUCAGCUAUAGUACAUAAGGUUCAACUUGAAAUUACUUGUACAAUCGUUUUACUUUUAAGUCGUUGGAGUAAUGUGCUGAAUAUAUUUUAGAUCUCAACAAUUCGUCUAGUUUGAUUUCUAACUUUUUCUCGACGACCAAGCACAAGUUUGGUAUGUAAAUCCGUAAAUCAACAAUUUCUCCACUAAUGCAAAGGAUUAGGCAAGACUCAAUUCCCCAAAUACGAAACAGUUUUAUGCGUAUAAACCUGAGGAACCAAACACAUGUUGUGUACCUAGUCCCCAUAUACCAAUUUUUACUUUCCCUUCUCUGGCAAUCCACAUAGUCAAACUUUUGUUUAAUAUAAACUCCUUAAAAGAUUCAAAAUAUGUAAAUACCGUUACGUAGAUAAUUAUACAAUUCAAUCUGCAAUUUAACUUAAAGUAUAUAUAUUAUUUUUUUAAAUAUUAAACAUCUAUUAUACUAUACCAAAAUUAUCUUAUAUCUUGGAAGAAGUAAUACACCAGGCCAAAAUAUGGAGCCACCUCAGUUACCGUCGAGUCCACGUCUGGGUGGCCAUGCAGCGCUGUCGCCGAGGUCCGAGGAGCGUUGGAUUUUCCUAUCUCCUUUUUCGAAAGCCAAAAGUAAUCACUCCGAAAGUCCAACCCCCAUCUCGCCGCGGUUGGGGAGAACACGACUCGCUCGGUCCGCGCGCCACGUGAGAUCGAGGGGCAAUCCGGAGUGGCAGAAGAUAUCCUCGAGAUCCGAGGAGGGAACCCCGCUUAGGCUUCGGUUUCAGAGCAGCUGACCGUCGUAGCGGUCAAGCCAGUAUGUGCCGUAGUUGAAAUCUUUAGCAACGUCAUUGAACCACGCAAUAAAAUCCAAGGAAGAGCCUUGGCACAUCAUCAGCAUGGAAGAACAUCAUAUUGACUUAAUUUAAAAAAGAAAGAUUGACGAAUCAAGCAAAAGUUACUAUGCACAUACAUCUCUUACAGGGCACUUUUUCAUCUUCUAAUACAUACUCUAGUUCAAAGGUAAUUUUUUGCUACAAAUUUACAUUGACAGAGCAUAAUCACAAUCGAUCGAAUAUCACUUGAAAUGCAAAAUAUGACCAUGCACCAUCUUAUCCAAGAGCUAGGAGAAGUUUGAGGUCAAAGAUCAGCAUUUUGAUAUAAUUAUGACCACCUUAUACUUGUAAGCAAUAAGCAUUCGAGUUCAAUACCUAAACUCGAUAUUUUAUGCUUGGAUAGUGCUAUUACAUUUGUCACCAUUUGAUUCACGAGAAAUUUGACAUAGGAGUGAUUGGACCAUUAGGCCUAAUAAUCAUGAUGAGACACAACAAAUAUCCUUGUGUCAUAGUAUGAGAAACAACAUAAAAAUAAGUCUAAGAAACCACACUGUCGAUCUAUUCCAAAUCACCAAAGAAAUAUCAUAAUCAGUUCAAAGAAAUCCAGAACUUUGUAAGCACAUUCGAGUAAAGAUCCAUCAUAAGUCUAAAAGAAAAAAAGAAGAUUUUUUUGGGUACUUUCAAUUCUAUAUUUUCACCUUUUCUCUUAUUACGACCCCAUCCCUUAAGCUUGUCUAGUUAAUUUUUUUUUUUUUUUUUUUACUUUCACAAAUUUCCUAAUCAAGAUCCAACCAAAUUUAGCUGACGUAACUGUUGGACAACGCCCUAGUAUGAUGUAGAUAAGAUAUGCGAAUGCCCACGUAGACAUGUAUAUAAAAAUUUAUCCAAUAUAGACAAUAUCAGAAUGUGACAUGGAUAAAAAUUAACUAAGCUGUAUGCUAGAGUAGAUGUUUACAUUAGAAAAUUUUUGGUCAUGUGACACAACGACAUCAUUUGAUGUGUUAUGCCAGUUGGAUUUGGUCUGGUUUUGUGUUAGAGAGAUUUGAUUGGAAAAUUUAUGAAAUUCGAAGAACUUGAUUCAACAAAGUAAAAGUACGGUAGAGAAAAUGUGAAAGUAGAAGAUAAGGAGAUUUGAUUUCAAAAAACCAACAGCAAUCCACAGUUUGCAAAUAUCAGCACAAUGGUGGCAGCAGCUGAGAAAUUAUGGUCUAAAUUAAUAUAAUUUGCAUCAGCAGAAGAAUGCCUAACCUGACAAGACAAGUAUGUCUACUUUGUAUUACAUGAGCAAUGAAUGGAAUGGUCACACUGCAUACUCACAAUUCCACUGGUGUCUGGUUCCAAUCUCAAAGACAUCAAAAGCCGAGAAAAGGUCACAACUAUGAAUCUCUCUAUGAACUUGUCUCAUCAUAAGCGUCAAGAGGGAACAAAAUCUUCAAGCCAAACGAAUAGCUGUGAGGGAAAUAUAAUCGGCAAUGGAUGUUGACACCUAAAUUUUGAUCAUCCAAUUAGUUAUUUAUUGCAUAGAAAAAUUAAAAAUCAACCCCAGCCCCUAAAAAAAAUUAGUUAAUGUAGAUGUUAGGAGCAUUCUUCAUUGAUUAAUAGUAAGUCCACAUAUAAUUACAUUUUGAUUGGACUGGUGCAAGGAGAUUUGAACUUAAUCGAGUUAAUUAGACUAAGCCUGCGGGAAUGAGAAAUUCAGCCUAAUCCAUUUAUUUCCUUUGCUCGACCAGACAUCAAAUAUGCAGCACAAUGACUUCAGCAAGAAUGAAGGAGCAAAUAUUCGUUACUAAGAAAUAUAUUCUGAACAAUUUUUUGGGAGAAUUAACUGGCCAAUUCUUUUCAUUAUUAAAGAUGCACAUCAUGCUGAAAGUAGGCAAGUUAAUUUUUUUUAGUCAAAACUGGAAGUAAUUGAACACUAUUUGAAAGGAAAAAAAAAUAGAAGAAAGAAAAAGGAAGAAAACAGUGAAGAAAGAAGGAAAUUCACGGCCUGAGUAUGAUAGACCAAAGAGUAAUAUACGCACUCACAAGAGAAAAGUGGAAUUUGGUUAGCCCGAAAGGAGUUCUCGCCACUUAUAAAGAGAUGACACUGCAACACAUAGAAGAGAAGGCAAAUGAGGGAGACAAAAUGCUCGAUAAAUUCACGUUCGCAAUUAACGAGAAGUGUGGGCAAUACAUAAAAGAGAACUCGAGUUCUUUCUGUGCCUCGAAAAGCAAGCCCCUACACAGUAAGUGUGUCUAUGUUUUGAUGUUAGGAUUGGGAGAAAACAUGUGGGUUCAACGACAUUGUAGAUUGAUUUACAUGUCUCAAAAGUCAUUAGUUGGAAUUAAAAGUGGACUGUAAUAUACAUGUGAAGAUAUUCGAAAGAUAUACUUGUAAGAAUCAACAAGGUAGAGAUGAUAUUUGGGGCACUCAUGAAAAAAAUUGGAUUGAACAGACCAAAAUAUUUUAGAUAUUUAUAGCAUAAGUUUUGUCAUAUUGAUGCAUUUCGUUAAUCAAUUAGUUGGUUCUUGAGGAGAAGCUUCAAUUGCGUUCACUUACAAUUCAAGAACUAUAGAUGGACGCUAAAUGAUCACUGGCACUUUUUUUUUUUGGUAAAAGUAAGCAACAUUUUUAGGGUUGCAUAUUCCACUUUUUUUCAAACUUCCACACCUUUAAAAAUAUUUCGGAAAAUAAAUAAAAAAUGGGGGGAAGUUAGCAAUUCAACAUGAAGCCUUAAAAACCAUUAACUUAAGGGGAGAGAUAAAAGUGAUUUGAGUGGAGGGUAAAGAUUGGAUAAUGUUUAAAAAUGACGUAGCGUGGGGAAAUCUUGUAUGAGAAAAUUAUUUCAAAAGAGAUUAAUUUUCGGAGUUACUUUCCCAACGAUAAAGCAAUGCGUCCUAUGGGCUUUAAUAACAAAAUCCUAUAUAUUCCCACGACUGACAUGCUUUUGUCAUUGACUCAUGUCCAUUAGCAGCAGGAGCAACGUGAGUGUCGGUCGUUAGUUUCCUUUUUCUAUUCUGUUUAUAAUAGAAAAGGCAAGCCAAGUCAAGACAAAGCUGGAGGAUCCCAAAUUUCAAUGAAAGCGCCUGCAUGCACCUUCCUCGUAUACUGCUGAGAAUCGGUGGAAAUCACAGCUGGAGCCCAUGAGCAUCGCUCCUUAGGGUGCGUUUGGCUGCACCCUAUUUCUGUUCUCAAGAACAAAAAUUUCUGUUUUUUUGUUCCUGGGAACAAAAAAGGAACAGAAACGUGUGGGUGCGUUUCUGUUCCUUUUUUGUUCUUUUGUUCCCAGGAACAAAAAAGAAACAGAAACAAGAAACACAAAAUUUGUGUUUCUUGUUUCUGAAACACAAUUGAGGAACAAAAAAGGAACAAAAUUGUGUUCUCCUGCUGCGACCCUCUCCUCCUGCAAGCGUCUCCACCGUCGUCUUCUCCGGCGCCUCCCACUCUCCGGCGCCGACAGCCGCCUCUGUCUCGAGACCAUCCGGCUUCUCCACUGUCGUCCUCUCCGGCACCGAUAGCCGCUGCAAGCGUCUCCACCUGUGAGCGGGUGACGUAGCUGGGUCGCGGGUCGCUGGGCGGCGACGGCGGCUGCGGUGCGGGGCUCGGCCGUGGGGUCUCGAGCGGCGGACGUCUACGAGCAGAGUGGCGAGGACGGCCGGUCGAGUCGUGGGCCGGCGCGGGGUCGAUGAUCGAGCGGAUCUCGAAGUCGUGGGUCACGGCGCGGUGAGAUCUGAUGCGGCAGUGGCGAACGAAGGCUCGAGACCUGCAGAUGCGUCGAUCGGGCGUGAGGCGGAGGGGUGGUCGCCGAUGCGGUGGCGGCGAGGAGGCGUCGAGCGCGGUCGCCGAUGCGGUGGAGGGAGACGACGGUGUGGCUCUGGGUCACCGUCAGCACGGCGCGGCGAGGCCUACCUCGCGCCUGGCUGGGCAAGCUCGAUCUCGCCCAGAUCCGGCAAGGCCGAGCUCGCCCAGCGGCCGGCGAGGCCGCCGGCCCUCGUCGACCGGUCGCCGGCCAUGGUCGAGGUCGGCGGCCAGCGACCGGCCAAAAGAAGGAAAAAGGAAAAAGAAAAAAGAAAAAAGAAAAAAAGGAAAAAUAAAUAAGAAAAAUAAGAAAGAAAAUAAAAAAUAAAAAUAAAAAUAUUAAAAAAAUAAAAGAAAUAAAAAAAUUAUACAAACUUACCAAACGUGUUUCUAUUCUUUUUAUAUUUCUUAAACGGAUUUACCAAACGCGUUUUUUUGUUCAAAAAUUGUUCCCUGGAACAGAAAUAUUUUUUUUUAUUUCUGUUCCCAUAAGCAAUUUUUAAACAGAAACGUUACCAAACGCACCCUUAGUUUUCUUUUCUAUUUUUUUUUCGUAAAUAUAAAAGUCAAUUUACUUUCAUUAAUAUAAAAGGGAAGACGUGCUGGAUCGCAAGUUCCGAUCAAAGCAGUAGGAGCAAGUGAGUGUUGCACGUGCUUGCAUGUGCGCACGUGAGUAUUUUUGCUCUUUCGGUUCCGCACGCCUUCCGCUAAAUGCCGCGGAAACUACCCAUGCAAAGAUUGUUCUCUUGGCGGCAUGCCUCACAGCAGUUCGAUUAGCAUGCAGAGUCUUGGACCGUUAGAUGGCAAGAACUCAGCAUUAUGUACUUUGCACAAAUAGCCCCGGUCGAUCUUUCUAUGCUUCAACAGUGUUUAUCUAAAUAAUUUGACUAACCAAUGCAUAUAGAUAUAUAUAUUCCCGGAUGGAGAGGAAACCCACCUACCUAGAAAAAUUUCCACCGUAUCGAUGAAGCCUUCACCAUAAGAGACGAAGGAAAGCGAAAGCCCCAUGUGUGCUCCACCAUCAGUUAAAAAAUAGUUUUCACGCCCCGAUUUUAUAAUAUAGUCGUGGUGGAUUUCACAUUUCGAUGAAAGCGCGUGCGUAGGUUCCCCACACCUUCCGCGCAAUGCCGUGGUGAUUAGUUGUUAUCAAACAACAUUUUCUUUCAUUUUAAGUACUUUCUUUUUCUGGUCAAAACAUUUUAAGUACUUCAAAUAAUCCAUAUUUGAAAUUCAUUACUCAAAAUUUUCAAUAAUUAUUUUACAGUUUUAUCUAAAUGGGCACGUACUCGCAGCUUAUUUUUCACAAAUGAAUAAAGUUUAGCCUUGAAAAAAACAAGUUGAGUCAAGUUGAAAGUCCAGCUACAGUACAUGAGGUUCGACUUGAAAUUACCUAUGCAAUCGUCUUACUUUUAUGUCAUUGGAGUACAGUGCCGAAUAUAUUUUAGAUCUCAACAAUUCAUCUAGUUCGAUUUCUAACUUUUUCUCAACGGCAAAAGCACAAAUUAGGUACAUAAAUCCAUAAAUCAACAAUUUAUUUGAAAGUCGAGUUAGCACAUAAGGUUCGACUUGAAAUUACUGAUGUAAUUGUUUAGUUUAAGCCAUUAGAGUACAGUGUUGAAUAUAUUUUAGAUCUUAACAAUUUAUUUGGCUUGACUUCUAGCCUUUUAUUAAUGACAAAGCACAAAUCAAGUACGUAAAUUAAUAGAUCAGCAAAUUCUUCACUAAUGCAAAGUAAUGGGUAAGAAACAAGUCCCAAUGAGAGUUUAUGCUUAUAAAUGCAAAAAAACCAAGCACACAUUGUGUACCUAGUCUUCAUAUACUAUUUUUUACCUUCUAUUCCCUCACAACUCUCAUAGUCGAACUUUUAUUUAACAUAAAUCACUUAAAAAGAUUUAAAAUAUGUAAAUACCGUCACAUAGAGAAUUAUAUAAUUCUUUUUGUAAAUAAACUUGAAGAAUAUACUUAUUUUUAAUUUUUUUUAAAUGUAAAAAAUCAAUUAUAUUUUUAAGUGCAACCUAAACUUUUAUCAAAGGGUCGCACACCAAAAAUUUUCUUUUAUUUUGAAAGAGGCAAUACACCUCAUUAGUAAUUAGGGAAAAAGGCCAAAAUAUGGAGCCGCCUCAGUUGGCGCUGUCGAGGAGCGUUGCACGGUCCCCGUCUCCUUUUUCAAAAGCCAAAAGAAAUCGCUCCGAAAGUCCAACCCCCAAGUCGCCUCGGGCGGGGAGAACACGGGAACUUGCUCGAAACGUGCGCCACGUGAGCUGGCGGAGGGCAAUUCGGUACAUUCGGAGUGGCCGAAGAUAUCCUCGAGAUGCGAGGCGGGGGCCACAGGUGGGCUUCGGUUUCUGAGCAGCUGGCCCUCGCAGCUGUCAAGCAAAGUGGAGAGGAGGAGCGCCGUGGGUCCGCUUGAAGAGACAACUUAGGCAGAAUCCACGAAGCAAAUGUCCUGCUCUGUUUUCGUGGAUAAAAGGGUCUGGGACGUUGGACGUUAAUAACUCAGCAUCGUUCGAGCAAGCGCGGGAGAGAGUGUUGAGUGGAGUUAAUCCGAAGUCGAAGGCUGAGAACCGGCAGAGAUCACGGCAGUGGGUGGAUUGUGUUGUUUGAACACUUCUCAGGUAAUCGAUUGCUCCAUUUUCCUUUGACGAGUUUCGAUUUGAGUUCUUAGAGACAAUUCUGCAUUCCGAGAUCUGGAGUGUGAAAUCUACCUUUUUUUCUUUUCAAGACUCUGCUCGAUCAAUCUCCUUUUUGAUCAAUUAGACUUCAUUUUUGUUUGAAUGUAGUUACGAAAUGAGCCUUGACAGAGAUUUCAGCAAUUCCCAGUUGUGGGAUUCCGUAUAUUCUCAUCUCUGUUUCUUGCUUUCCUUUGAGGCUCUACUCCAUCAAUCUCUUUUACUGCCUUUGUAGGUGAUUACGAAGGCGGAGCCUAAAAGAUUCAAUAUGUGGGGCGUCUUCCUCGAGCUCUUUUAUUGCCUUUGUAGGCUAUGCUCCUCCAAUGGUCUCGAGAUGGAAAGAAAUGAAUCCACUCAUUUAGAAGAUCCGAAUUCCAGGGCUUCUUCCUCAUCAUCCUCUCCACUAGUAGGUGAUUAUGAAGGUGGAACCAAAAAGACAGAAGGAAAUGAUUAUGAAGUGUUCUUGAGCUUUAGAGGGAGGGACACUCGCAAAGGUUUCACUGAUUAUCUCUACACCAGCCUUGUCGAUGCAAGAAUUCAUGUGUUCAGAGAUGACAAUGAGCUUCGUGUUGGUGAGGAGAUUGGACCGGAACUUCUCCGCAGUAUUACACAAUCUAAGAUCUCCAUCCCAAUUAUUUCAGAGGAUUACGCUUCUAGCAAAUGGUGCCUUCGCGAGCUGGCUCAUAUAUUGAAAUGCAAAAGAAACAGAGGGCAAAUAGUGUUGCCCAUAUUUUACAAAGUGGAACCCUAAAAAAUGCGGCAUCUUACAGGGAGAUUGGGAGAUGCUGUCAAUGCGCAACAAAAUAAUAUGGAUGAAAUGAUGGAAUGGGAAGAAACGCUCAAAGAAGUUAGUUCCUUGAAAGGAUUGGAGUCGGAGAAAAUUGAUAACGGGUACAUUAUUCUCCACCACAAUAUUGUUUACUUUCUCAUAACUAGAUCUCACUUGAAAAAGAAUAUAAAUAUUUCCAUAAUAUAUUGAAAUUUUUAUUGUUAUUUGACAGGCACGAAGGAACAUUAGUUAAGAUAGUUGUUAGAAAAGUUAUGAGUGAGUUAAAAGGGCUGUUUUUGCUAAAUGUUCCCAAACAAUUGGUGGGAAUUGAUGAUCAUGUGGAACAUAUUAUGAGCUACAUAGAUGCUAAUUUUAGUGAUACAAAUAUGAUUGGAAUUUAUGGAAUGGGCGGCAUCGGUAAGACAACACUUGCUAAGGUGUUAUACAACAAGCUUUGUAAUCAUUAUGAGUCUCGUAGCUUUGUGGCAGAUAUUCGAGAAACAUCUAAGGUCAAGGGUCUUGAAUGCAUACAAAAGCAGCUCAUUUUUGACAUAAGUGGAGACUCGCGUGAUGUGUCUAAUGUCGAUUAUGGAAUCAGUAUCCUUAAAUCUCGAAGUACAAGUAAGAAAGUACUCAUUCUUCUUGAUGAUGUGGAUGAUAAUACUCACUUGAAUGCUUUGAUCGGAGAAGGUAGUUGGUUUAAAGCUGGAAGUAUAGUCAUAAUCACCACUAGAGACAAGAGUAUUCUUGACAAGGCAAGGGUGAGACACAAGUAUCAACUCAACAAGUUGCUUUCGGAUCAAUCAUUGGUUUUAUUUAGUAGACAUGCAUUUAGAAAGGAUUCUCCUCCGAGUGAUUAUGGGGUUAUCUCUCGUGACAUUGUAUCUACUACUGGAGGGCUUCCUUUAGCUCUUGAAGUUAUUGGUUCGUUCUUAUGUGAAAAGACAAAAGAAACAUGGAAAGCUACAUCAAAAAAAUUAGAGAAAGUGCUUGAUAAGAAAGUGCAAGAAAAGUUGAGAAUAAGUUACGAUGCACUAGAUUUUGAGGACCAACAGAUUUUUUUGGAUAUUGCAUGUUUUUUUAUUGGAUCAUCUAAACAAAAUCCGACUUACAUGUGGGAAGCCUGUGGUUUUUUCCCGGGGAAGGGGAUUGAAGUAUUGAGUCUUAUGUCCCUUAUUAAAAUUGAUGAAGACGGCAAUCUAAUGAUGCAUGAUCAACUGAGAGAUCUUGGAAGGGAAAUUGUUCGUCUAGAAAAUCAAAGGAAACCUCAAAAGCGCAGCAGAUUGUGGAAAUAUGAGGAUGCCAAAGAUGUGAUCCUUAGCAACAAGGUAAGAGUUUUUCUCUGCUUGUCUUAAUCACUGAAUGUGAGUCCAUCUUCUCUUUCUUGUCUGAAAUAAUAAUUAUAGUCAAUCACAAGGCCCCAAAACUUGCUACAUGUACCGGCAAAAGAGCUCUUUAAAUGAAGUGCUCUUCUUGCCAUACUUUAGGACAUAAUUGAUGAGUAAUUUCUUGAUUAUUAAUGAUUGAUAUUUUUACCUGGUAAAAUUGUGAUGACGAUACUCACCCUUUGCUAACUUCAAAGCAAAAACAAAGCUACAAUUUAAUGUUUAACAGAGCACUUUUGAAGAAAAUCAAAUAUCUGUAAAUUGUUGGGGCCAUGCUUUUCCCACAUAUUUGUUCGAUGCACGAGUUUGAUGUUUGUAUUCUUAUUUUGAUUUCUUUUAAGGUCUUUUUUUUUUCCUUUAACAAUUACCGAGACUUCCUGUGAGUUGUUUGUUAUGAUGAAUGAGACCAUUCAUUAGUGAUGGUUAGCUAUCCUGAUUCUUGGAUUAUGCAAGUUGGGUUAAGUAUAGAUUUAGUCCCUCUAAUAAUACUAUUUGUAAGAUUUAAUCCCCUUUCUUUUCUUUUCUUUUUGGCUCAAUAUCAUCUUCUAUCUUUCACAGUUUGUGCAAUCGAGUCCUUUGUAGUCAACCGCUAGUGAACAUCGUCAAUUUGCUUAUGUAGCUUUCAUAUACUAUAAAUAAAUAUGGUUAUAAUUAAUAUAAAUCUAAGUUAUAAUUAGAAAUCUAACAUUGAUAGAGUGAUUGGGUAAAAAGGACACGAAUUUAGGGAAUAGCUAUUACUGCAAAUAAAUAUUGUAAUAGACUAUAAUAGCCAUUACUGUGAUGAAACGAGCUCUAAUAGUCUUAAUGUGUUGUAAUAAUACAUUGCUACAUAAUGUAUAUGUAACUAAGGCUCAGUAUAUGUGUACAAGUGGAUGGUAUAUAUUAUGUGGUAAGAUCUUUGGUUCAAAAUAAGACGAUAGAAAAAAAAAAGUAGAAAUUUUCCAAUAAACAAGAUUAAUAGAGCCAUAAAUAUUUUACUUAGAUUUUUAACACUCAAAAUACUUUAAGCUUCUGCUUCGCACUCUAAUCUCAAUAUCUCGAUCUUCUCUAUUAGGUCUCAAAUUUGACAAAUUUGCAAAAAUUAGAGGUGGUCAACGACUUACACUAAUGAUCUAAACUACCACACUCGACUUAUAGGAAACUCCAUAAAAUACGAAUGGAAUGCCAUAUCUCUUUGAUCCAUAUCUCUCUAGCUCUUCCCAUUUAUGUCUUUUGAUUGGCUUGAGGAAUGAGCUGGACAGGUGUCAAAUGGUUGAUGAAAUAAUUGGCAACUAAUAAUUCCUGUAACACAAUCAUGUAACUCACCAGCUCACAUUCUUCUUCCAAUCCAUGUGUAUUUUUUUUCUUUUUUCUCUUUUUUUUUUAAAGCUCCUCCAUAAAAGGUAGUCUAAUCAUAUCGAGUUAAUCACAAUAUUUAAACCAACCAAAAAAAAUCACAAUAUUUACAUUUUACUUAAUCCUCGAAAAUACGAGUUAUUACCUUACAGUAGACUUUGGCUACUAUUACAUUAUACAACACUUGAAAAAUAGAGAAUCUAAACAUUCUUUUCUUGCAUUAUAAAGAAGUUGUCACCAAAGAAAAAAAAGCAAAAGAUGCUAGAUAAAAAAGUAUGUGUCAUUAAGAAAUAAAAAUAAAGAAGUGGAAAGACAAAUGGAAGUAACUAAGGAAUACAAAUAGAUAGUAAAAUAAUGUAUCGAAGGGGACACAAUAUGAAAGUUCAUUCGAUUAGCAUAUUGUGCUAAUUAGUAUAUUAUAAGUAACUUUCAACAUAAUAAGUGAUAAUGAGUUAUCAAGAUAACAUAAUCACUAUUUCAUUGCCUAUAUACCUAUUUUUCAUAUAAUAUAUAUCAAUGAUACAAUAACUGAUCAAGAUAACAAAUAUUCAUGAUCCCAACAAUUUCAUGGAAGAAUGUCAUUAUGAUAUCUCUGUAUACAUAGACAAAUCUGAAAAUUAAUUCUCAAGUCACAAUUUCCAUGAAAAGUGUACACGAGAAUUUUCAGAGGUGAAAUUGUAGAUUUGUUUACAACAUUAUAUUAUACUUAUAUAUAUAUAUUGGCAAUGAUACGUUUUUAACAAUACUUUUAUAAUUUUAUUUGGGAGCUAUGCAUUUUCAACAAAACAUAUAUCCUUAAUACCAUAAUUAUAAAAAAUUUAAUGUUGAAAUAUUAUCAAAACUAAAAUUUUUAAUAUGAUGCUUAUUAACUUCGAAAUUAAAUAUUUCAACGAUACAUACAUGACCUUUUUUUCAUAUAGAGAAUCAUCGAAGUUUACAUUUGAAUGAUAAAAUAACAUUUCAGUUACAACAUUUUUAGAAAUUUAUAAGAGAAUGAUAAAUAGUAAUGAAACUAAACAAUUUCACAACCAUAUGCUUGCACAGAAGUAAGAAUUUAACAUAAGAUAAUUAUUCUUCAUUUAUGAUCUGUCUCUUAGCAAGAUCUUAUUAAUCUAUUGGCAAGAUUGAUCAUAAAAUUAGAUGACUAUUAUUUCUUUGUAACAAAACCAACAUGAAAUGAAAAGUUAGCAUCAAACAUAUGUAGCAAUAAAAAGAGAAGUGAAAAUCCUAUAUUUAACAUUUGAUAUGUUUUCUUCCAUAUACAAUGAAAAACACUCAUUGAAGAACUACAUGAUAAGAAAGGAAUGUAAACGUGCGUACUUCUUGGGAUGGAAUUCUUGCUUUCAUUUUGCUAUUGAGAAACAAGGUACAAGAGAAAAAGAUGGUGAUUCUACAAUUGGGAUUCUUUAGUAUUGAUGCAUGUUUUGAUGGUAAGUUUGAUAGAUGCAUUUGAAGUUUUGAACCAUAAAAGACAUGUUGUUUCACAUAUAAAGGAUAUGAUUUACGGUUUUGUUAUUUCCCAUAUAAAGGGCACGAGAUUUUGAAGUAGUGUGUGCAUGAAGAGAGGCCUUCUCUAUUAAUUUUUAAAGGAUGUGACUUUUGGGAAUUUAAAAGGUGCAAAUUGCCGAGGGCAUGGAGGAGGAAAAGUUUGGGAAGACCCUCUAGAGCUUCACAUUUUUACAUAGAUUACCACAACUCGUAAUGUUAUGAAGUCAAAAAUGAGAAGCUUAAAUCAUAAUAGUAUGACAACAUGUUUGAAAUGAAUAUAUCUUUUCUCAUUUAUAGUUGGUUCUGAUCCAUUAUUCAAAACUACGAUUUACGUUGUUGCCUAAUUGUAGGGCACUAGUAAGAUUGAGGCCCUUUGUCUUGACUUAAUUUAUGGGACGAGAAGCUGCACAACUGAAGUAUUUAAAGAGUUGACCAAUUUGAGGUUCCUUCAACUACAUGGUGCAAAUCUCAAUGGAAAUUUUCAGAAUUUGCUUCCUCAAUUAAGAUGGCUUGAGUGGACGGGUCAUCACUCGGAUUUUGAAUUGACCAACUUUCGUCUGGAGAAAUUAGUCGUGCUCAAUCUAUCAUGGAGUCAGACUUUGGAGGAUUGGAGAGGAUGGAAUCCACUAAAGGUAAAAUAUAGAGAAUGCAUAUCUCUAUAAAUAAUCACGUGUUGUCGAUGGGCGCAAUUGCACCAAGUUCUCCUUUAUUUCUUAUGAAAAUCCUUUCUCAUAUUAUGGAUUUUCCUCUAAGCAUAAUAGGAAUUAUAGGCACUUAAAUAUGUUAGAAGCUUUUGCCUAUUAAUAUUUUAACAACUAGUCAUGCUUAACAUCAGACCUACUAACAAUUUUUUUUUUAAUUGUAUUAAUUAACAUCCAUCAAAAAUAUAAUUACAAUACUGUGCCCAUGUUACUUUUAAUCUAAAUGGUAUAUGGUUUCUAGUUAAUUUCUCCCCAUGCAAAAAUAUGUCUUUUUAACAAUUGUUGUUGUAUAUAUGGAUCUUCUUUCAUGGAGAAACAAAAACCCUCAUAGUGACUUGUGUUUUACAUUCAUACUAAAAUUCUAAAUUCAUUGUUACUUUUAGAGUAAUGGAAGUAAUUUGUGAGCUGCUCUGACUUGUUGCACACAAUAUUUAUUUAUUAUUUUUGUUGAUUGUUGAAGUCACUGUACAACACAUAUAUAAAGUAGUAGUGUUCUAUGAGUAAUAAAAUUAUCCUUGAGAUGGAAUUUAAAUAUUUUUAAUACAACACCUUUUUAUAGCUUCUACAUAUAGCAUUUAAUAAUUGUUUUUCAUAAUUAAAGUGACCAUUUCUCUUUAAUUUCAUACUAUUGAAGGAAAACAUGGCACCAAAUGAAUGCAUCUCUUUUCUUGAUUUUGUCAUCUUUAAUUUGAUAAUAAAAUUUGCGUAUCUCUAAUUGUGCAUAACUUCAAAAAACUAAAUAUGAUAUUUUUCUAUGAAAUUUUAUUUGCAAAUAAUUGUAGUUAGCACUUAUAUAUCCCUAAUGUUCUCUUUGCAAUGAUAUGCUCAAAAACAUUUAUAUGUUGGCUUAGUGAAUACACUACUAAAAAGAAACAUUUAAAAUUAAAUAAGAUAGCUAUGGAGGAGUAGGGAGCAUGAGUAUUCAUUUUCAUCCAAUCUCAAAGUGGAAUCCUUUCUUUCUUUCAGAUGGCAAUCGAGCUCAAAGUUCUCAACCUUUCAGGUUGUGCUUUGAGAACAACUCCCGACUUGUCUGCUUUCAAGAGCUUGGAGAUUUUGAUACUUGAACAUUGUCAUGGUUUAGAAGAGAUUCAUCCUUCUAUCGAGGACAUCAAGACCCUUAUCUCCUUGAAUGCCAAUAAUUGUCAGAAUUUGAAGGAGUUACCGCUAGGAGUAGGUAAAAUGAAAGAAUUGAGGAAGCUUCUCAUAAGUAAAACUAAUAUACGACAGAUUCCUAUUUCAAGAGGUUGUUUGACGAAGCUGGAGACUCUAUAUGCCUCAUAUUGUAGACUACUUGCUCGACUUCCAAAAUCCUUGGGUUCCCUUAUGUCAUUAACUCAGUUAGACCUAUCAAACACAAAAAUUGAAGAAUUACCCGAAUCCAUUGGAUCUCUAAAGAAGCUCAAGACUCUAGAUGCCUCUUAUUGUGCAUCGUUAGCCCACAUACCCAACUCAAUAGGUGAUUUAGAGUCUCUGUCUCGCCUUGACCUGGGAAAUUGCCAAAAACUUAUUCAACUUCCAGACUCCAUAGGCUCUCUCGUGUCUCUAUCAUGGUUGUCAUUGUCGGGAUGCCGCUCGUUGAGACAAAUCCCAAACUUGAUCGGAAAGUUGACAUCAUUGACCGAGCUGUGUUUGAAAUCUAUGGCCAUCGAAGAAUUACCCGAAUCCAUUGGAUCUCUAAAGAAGCUCAAGACUCUAGAUGUCUCUUAUUGUGCAUCGUUAACUCACAUACCCAACUCAAUAGGCGAUUUAGAGUCUCUGUCUCGCCUUGACCUGGGAAAUUGCCAAAAACUUACUCAGUUUCCAGACUCCAUAGGCUCUCUCGUGUCUCUAUCAUGGUUGUCAUUGUCAAAAUGCUACUCGUUGAGACAAAUCCCAAGCUUGAUCGAAAAGUUGACAUCAUUAACCGAGCUGUGUUUGAAAUCUAUGGCCAUUGAAGAAUUACCUGAAUCCAUAGGAUCUCUAAAGAAGCUCGAGACUCUAGAUGCCUCUUAUUGUGCAUCAUUAACUCACAUACCCAACUCAAUAGGCGAUUUAGAGUCUCUGUCUCGCCUUGACCUGAGAAAUUGCCAAAAACUUACUCAACUUCCAAACUCCAUAGGCUCUCU